rnacentral:lncRNA from 1 species
UGAACUGGACAGAGGUGGAAGGCUGUGACACAGUUUUUUUUCUCUUUUAAUUUUUAUGAGGGGUAAAAUUGGAACCCAAUGUCUAGUUGAAAAAGCAAUAUAAAUUUUAUUUUAAAAAAUAUAUGUGGCAAAUUCUAAAUGGAAGUAUCACCCGCUAACAUAGUGAUAUCAUAUUAUUCUAGAAUUUAUUCUUUUUUUUUUUUUUUAUGACACAGAGGAAAAAACCCCAAAUAGAACCUACACAACAGGAACUAAAUGGGGUCUAGAGACCCCAAUCCUAUCAUUAACCAAAGCAGCUUCAGCCCAAAGAGGCACCGAUUCAAACCAAUACACGCCUAAGUCCAUAUUAUAGCUACCAUUAGCAAGACAGUCAACCAAGCAGUUCUGCUCCUGAUAGACAUGCUGCAAAUCACAAUAACUGAGCAAAUUCAUAAAAUCCCAGUAACUAGCUAACAUACCAUCCAAGGGAUCACCUCCAAUAGUAUCAGGAGACCCAUUGUUUUGCUAAAAUACAUUUCACGUAAGUGCCAUGUGUGCAAGAAUAAUAAUAAAUUUAUUUAACCACUAAAAAAAUAAGAUUUUUAAAAAAUAACUUUAAUUUUCCAUUUAAUAAAAGAGUAUACUAGUGAUUUGUCCUUUAAAUUUAUAAUUAACUUUUAAUUAUAUCUUUUUUUUAGAAAAUUAAGGAUAUGAACUUUUUUCCCCCUCUAAUUUCCCCCAUAUUGUAUAAAUUCUCAAUAUUUCAUCUAACUUUCAGUUAAAUUAUUAUUUUUUUUUAAAAGAAAAGAAGAAAAUUGACCAAAAAAAAGAAGAAGAAAAAGACACUGAACCAGCAACCUUAUCACCCCCCCUCCCUAGCUCUCUCUUCCAGCACAUCAACCCCAUCACAACACAGCCAAAGUACCCUAAAACCCAGCAAAAAAAAAAAAAAAAAAAGUCCCCAAAUUGAAUGAAUCUUUGUUUGAGAAAGGCAUGAAAGUACUGUUAUGGACAGCUAAUCUUAAUUUGCAUCUGAGUCAACCUGCUUGAACCCCAUUGUAUCUUGAUCACAGGGGCCUACUAAAAAGGAAAUUUAGGGAAAAAACAAGCAGAAUGAAAUAAGCUCACCAAGGGACACUGUUGGUUGGUGGGGUUGGAGGAAGAACAUGGUGGGUUCCUGAUAGGGGUGGGCAUCAAUCCAGCCGAUCCGGUCAAUCCGGCCGAACCGAUUAUAUUGGAUUGGUUUGGUUUGGUUUUGACCAAAGAAAAAGUCAAUAUUUUGAAAAACCGAACCGAACCGGUUUGGUUUGGUUCAGCUGUGGUUUGAGAGUUUUAAAAACUGUCCUAAACCGAACCGGACCGAUUAUAAAUCAAUUUAUUAUUUAUUUAAUUUAGUUUACAUGUGGCAAGGUUUGAGUGGUUAUUUAAGAGUGUACCAUGUACCCUGCAACACUUGAUUGGACUCCAAAACUACAACUCACGGACACAUCUAAGUUAUCUAACCAUUCUCUCUCCCUCAGAAAAGCCUCUCUCCUAUCUCCCUUCCUUCGUCUCUUAACCCUAGCCGCAACUCCCUCUCAUUAUUUCUCCAUCUCUCUCUGCUACCUCUCCCUCUCUCUUUGUCUCUCUGCUACAUCUCCCUCUCCCUCUCCCUCGACGCUAACUCAAGCCAACAUGAUUUGAACUCGGCGAAACCCACCCAUUUGUCCUCAGCGAAAUCCAUCUCUACAAAACCCAAGUUCCAUCAUCGACCACCAGGUUAUGCAAGGAUUGAUUAUGGGAAUAUUGUUGGUGGUGGAUCGUCAUCAUCAGCUGGGUUUGUAAAAUAUGCUAGUUCUGUCUACUACUUUAUUUUUUGUAUUGUCUCCAAUAACUGGUUAUAUAUAAAAAGUUAGAGAGUUGAAAAAUAAAAUGGUAUUUUCUACGAGGCCUAACUUUUCAUUUUUAUGGUUAUAAAAUAUGCUAAUCUAUUUUAUUGUACAAAAAUACUGUAGCAUACCUUGCUUUGAUUUAGUUUUGUUCAUAGAAUAAUGUAUAUAAAAUGUUGCUUAUGUGAUAUGCUUGAUGCCUGUUAAAGAAGGAUACCUUAUUAUUAGCUUUUUCUCCUUGUUCUUUUUGUUAAAGAAGGAACAAAGUUAUGAACUUAGAUGCAUGCUAGACAUUGGAAUAGUUAAUCAAGUCUUGGUUGAAUUUUAGACUUAAGAAUCCUUUGGAAAUAUCAGUUAUUAAAUUGAGAAAUUUGGUUUCCUUCUGCUGUUAUUUCCUCCUUUGUCUUCUGUUAAGGUAGAAGUUUUAGGCAUUUGUUAUAAUUGAGCUGGUUUCUCGUUUCCAGAGUUUAGCUGUUGGCCAUGCAGAAGUUGAGGGGCUCUCUCGCAUUACUACUGUUGUUCCUGGUACAGACGAAUCAAUUAGCAAGUUGGUGCAGCAGCUUUAUAAGCUUGCCGAUAUUCAUGAUUUGAGAAUGUUUAACUAUUACAAAGAAUGCAUUUGUUUAAUAUGUUAAAGUAAAAUUGAUUCGUUCUCAUCUCUUAUGAAUUGUGAUGAAUGCAAUGAGUAAAUUUAAUGCUACUUGGUUAAUGCAAAUUAUGUAUAUGUUUGUUUUGAUGGAAAUUGUGAACUUAGAUGCAUGCUAGACAUUGGACAACCUUUGAAUAAAUGGAAUGAUGUUGUAUUAGCCUUUGAUGGAAUGGAAUGGAAUGAUAUAAUGGCAAAAUGUUAGCAUUAUAAUGUAAGAGCAGGUUGAAAAAUGCAUGGUUUUGUGUUAGGCACAAACCGGCCGAACCAAACCGAUUACAAGUGGUUUGGAUUGGUUCGGUUUCCAUUAUGAUUUUAGGCUAAUCCGAACCAAACCGGACCAUUAUUUUCUUAUUGGUUCAGCUGUGGUUUGAGAGUAAAACCGAACCAAUCCGGACCGUGCCCACCCCUAGUUCCUGAUGUCACAUAGGUAAGGAAUAAAAACGAAAGGAAAAUUAGGCCUCUGUGGUUAGUGGUUUCCAAAAGAUUGUCUUUAAAAUGCUUGCAAUUAUGAAUUGUGGGGGGAGGGGUUUAUGAGAGCAACUUCUGCUCUUUUAUCUUCUUUUGUGUUUGUCUUCAUGCUGCCACUUCUUUUAACCAAGAGGUCUUAUUUCUUAGUUUGGCUGUAAUCUUUGAUUUGUUUGUUAAUCUACUGACCAAGAAUUGGAAAUGGAAGCAACAGAGCCACUAACCCAGCUGCCGACGACAAAGAUCAAGACCCAUCGUGCCUAGACCUCAAGAGGGAUGCCACUGCAGACGCCGACAACCGCCUCCGCGGGUGGCACCACUCCCGCAUCAUCCGAGUCUUGAGGGCCUCCGACGGCAAAGAUUGGCACAGCAAGGUGUGCAAUAUAAGAGAAAGCGCCAUUCUUGAUAGUUUUUGUUUGCGCACAGAGAGAGAGAGAAUUUCUGUUUUUAUUUUUAUUUUUAAUGUAUAAAAUGACCAUUUUGCUCAUAUUUUUAACGGCAAAUUGGAUGAAAUGUUGUGGAUUUAGACGGAAGGGAGAAAUUGGCGGAAAAAAAAAAGGUUCACAUUCUUAAUUUUCCAUAAAUAAAAAAAUAAUAAGAGAUUAAUUGAAAGUUAUGUACAAAUUUAAGAGGCAAAUUACUAAUAUACCUUUUAGUAAAAUAUUGAAGGUAAUCUAACUUCACACAAUUCUAUGCGUUUACUUUUUUUUAAUAUUAAUAUAAACGAUUGUUUCACACUACCAAAAUACUAUAAUUAUUAAACCUAAAACCCCGAUAUGCAAAUCAAAAUCAUUUUCACUAAGCUAACCCCAUCGACGCUAUGCAUUAUUUAGAAAAAAUGUAUUGCAUGUGACAAGAGGAGGCUAGGCUCCCUUGGAUCAAUGGCCUUAACAGCGAUAUGGAGGAUGGGGUAGCUUCUCCCACAAUAAUGGGUGGUCCAAAAGCAUGGCGGACAUAUAAAUUAUUAUCAUUACUUCGCGUCAUCGAAUCAAAUCUUUUUCAUUUCGUAUAAUUGUGUAUUAGUUAAUUAAGUCGGCCACAAGAGGAAAUCGCUUGUGCAUUCAAAACUUGAAUAUUUUGUCCCUUGCUCAGUGCCAUGGCUGUGUGACCUUCACAACUAACCUCUGCCACAAGUUUUAUAUCGGAAGCUUCAAUAAUUUUGGCCUCACAACCUAGACAAUUUCUAUAUUAACAUCAAACAAGGACUCGGAUUUCAAGUGGGGCAACCAAAACCAGAAGCCAAAAAGCAGAGCAAUGGCUCUGUUAUCACUUCUGAAUCAAACAUGGCAACAGCUCCAGAGCAAUCUUUUCCUGCUUCCCAUUGUCUUCCUUUCUCUCUACAUUUUGCUUUCACUUGUUAGAUCAAGUGGGAAACCACUCAACCUACCACCUUCCCCACCAAAGCUGCCUAUAAUCGGAAACCUCCACCAGCUAGGCUCCUUCCCGCACCGCUCCCUUCGUGCUCUCUCCAAGAAGUAUGGCCCUCUGAUGUUUCUGAACUUGGGCAAUGUCCCUGCUCUGGUUGUUUCAUCUGCAGACAUGGCCAGGGAGGUCAUGAAGACUCAUGACACUGUCUUUUCUAGCCGACCACAAACCACUGCUCCUGGUAUCUUGUUCUAUGAAGGCCAUGACGUGGCCUUUGCGCCUUACGGAGAUUACUGGAGGAAAGUUCGGAAGAUUUGUGUUCUUGAGCUGCUGAGUCUUAAAAGAGUGCAGCAGUUUCAGUACGCUAGGGUGGAAGAAGUUGCAGAGAUGGUUGCCAAGAUUCGAAAAGCGUGCGGCGCGGAGUCUCCCAUUAAUCUCAGUGACACGCUGAUCUCCACCUCCAACAACAUUGUUUGUAGGUCUAUUCUCGGAAAGAAGUUUGAUGAUGCAGAUGAUAGUUGGUUUGGGGACACGGCGAAAGAUUUGAUGGUGAAAGUAAUGAGCUUCAGCUUUGGAGAUUUCUUCCCUGCUUUGAGAUGGCUUGACCAUGUUAGAGGCUACAUUGCAGGUUUGAAAGCGAUUUUUUCGCGAUUCGAUAGGUUCUAUGAUCAGUUGAUUGAUGAACACAAGACAGCAAAUGGGGAAGGGAAGGCUAAUAAGAAGGAUUUUGUGGAUAUUCUCCUCCAAGUUCAAAAUGAUGGCUCGCUUGACUUUGAUUUCACAAAAGAGGACCUCAAAGCACUUCUGCAGGUCUGUAUAAAUCUAUAUAUAUAUGUGUGUGUGUGUGUGUGUGGCUGAAAAUCAAUUUGGUUUUUUGGUUUUUAUGAUUUCAGGACAUGUUUGUGGGUGGAAGCGAUACUAGUUCGACGUCGAUGGUAUGGCUAGUGGCAGAGCUUGUGAGAAACCCAAGAGUGAUGAAGAAAGUCCAAGAAGAAGUAAGAAGAGUUGUGGGGGAAAAGGGAAAGGUAGAAGAGAGUGACUUCAACCAAAUGAAGUACAUGAAAUGUGUCAUCAAAGAAAGUUUCAGACUGCAUCCUCCAGCUCCUCUUUUAAUUCCUCGUGAAGCAACUGCAGAUGUGAAAUUGGGAGGCUACGACAUCCCGGCGAAAACAAGAGUGUUCGUCAGUGCAUUUGCCAUACAAAGGGACCCGAAAAUCUGGGACAAGCCAGAGGAGUUUAUCCCGGAGAGGUUCGAGGACAGCUCCAUUGAUUUCAAAGGCCAGGACUUUGAGCUCCUCCCAUUUGGUGCUGGGAGACGGGGGUGCCCUGGAAUUGCCUUUGGGAUUGUUUCAGCUGAGCAGGUGCUUGCCAACAUUCUCUACUGGUUUGAUUGGAAAGUGCCUGAAACUAGUGGCAAUGCAUUGCCUGAGGCCUUGGACAUGAGUGAAGUUUACGGGCUCACAGUCCGAAAGAAAGCUCCUCUAAAUCUUGUGCCAGUGCCCUACUUCCCCUGAUCCCUCCAUUCAGGAGCUUUUUGUUUUUGUUGUAGAAGAAGUUGCAUCUGGAUUAAUAAUAUGGUCAAGUAUCAAUUGUACCUCUAACAUUUCGAUUGAUAAUGAUAGAGGGAAUAAACUCUAGAAAUUGUACCAGCUGCUUUCUUACCUAGACUUUUUGAGGCAUUUUAACAAAGACUUCUCCCAUUCUCCAUUGCAAUGUAUAGCUUCAAAUUCCCAUUUAAUGUGAACUUAUCUAAUGGAUUGCGAAUAAUUUAUAUGCAAAUAAGGGUGAACCCGUCUAUUUAACCGCUACAAACGCGUUCCCAUUAAAUGAGAAUUUGCAUGGUGCCAAAAUCACUUGGUAUGAUUCUCUCAAGAAAAAAUUACCGGCAGAUACUGCAGUAUGCGGCAGCCUAAAUGGAGUCCACCACCCAUUGUGAGAGAGAGGCUAUUGAUAUGUGCCUAUGGAAAUGUGUAGCAUAUGUACCUAUUGAUUUUCUCUUAUCCUUUUUUACUGCUAUAUAUUUAUCUUUGGUAAAACUUGAUAUGCUCUGUAAUUUUUCCCUUGUAAAUAAUCUACACCAACCAAGUUUGGUGAAAUGCCUCACAUAGGUUUUCACUGUAGGACCUUCUUUGUCAUGCCCCAUUAGGACAAACCUAUUCAUAUUUGAAGCCAGACAACCUAAUCCUUGUUUCUCAGAAUUACAUUAAAGCCCCUGAUUAUAUGAAGGGUUUUUUGUUCUUUUCGUUUUCCAAUGUUCCUUCUUGUCUUCUAUUUUGUUUUAGAAUCACGCGCGGUUGCCUUCAUUUUUGGAUUUUUGCUCUUUUUCAGAAGAAUAUAUUUUCUUUUUGUUCUAACCUACAAGCCAAUCUAUGCAAAUGGACAACUCCAUAUUUACAAAGUCAAAGCGUGGAACGUUCGUUGAGCUUCUGAUCAUGCUUUUUUAUUUUAUUUUAAAUUAUAUGAAAAAGUUUAGGGGAGGGAGAGGAGCAUCUGAGAUCGUGCUUUCCCACCUACUACAAGUUACAACAAUGCAAAUAUUAAAAGAUAUAUUAUAAUAUACUAGGAAGCACGGGCGAACCCACGUGCAAUAAUGUAGGAAAACAUUAUAAAAGCAUGCCUAAAACAUGAAGAACAUGUGCAGGAGGUGCUUUUCAUCUGCUUCUUGCAUGCCUUAGGUAUGGAGAUUGAGAACUUUUCUCGAAAGUUUUAGCUUCCCUUGCCUUUUUGCUUCUGUUGCAGGCAAAGCAGUCAAGUUGUGCACAUGAGACGGCUCUAAGUGCAGCAUGUUUUGUGGGGCUUGGGUGUGAAUCAUAUGUGGCCGUAUUUUAAUGGAUUUUUUUUAAUCAUAUGAUUCAUGAAAAAGAAUUAACAUUGGGGUCCGAAUCAGAGCCAACUGCUACAUGCAUGACUUAUUAAUUUUUUUUCGGCUGGCAAAAUCUGGGGAACUGUUCUAUAAAAAGAAGUGAGAUUUCCAAGUGUCCAACCAAACCCAACAACACAACACAACACAACAUUGCAGCAGCAGCAGCAAUGGCUCUUCUAACACUUUUCAAUCAAAUUUGGCAAGAAGGGCAGCUGCAAAGCAGCACCAGUUCCUUCAACAUUUUCCUGGUUCCUAUUCUCUUCCUUUCAAUAUUCAUCUUGUUUUCGCUUACUAGAUCAUCCUCACCAAGUGAGAAAAACCGGAAACUCAAAUUGCCACCUUCCCCACCAAGGCUGCCUUGGAUUGGAAACCUUCACCAGCUAGGCUCAUUCCCACACCGCUCUCUUCGAGCUCUGUCAAAGAAGUACGGCGAUGUAAUGUUCAUGCACUUUGGCAAAGUUCCAACUCUGAUAGUUUCAUCUGCAGAGAUGGCCAAGGACGUGAUGAAGACCCAAGACAUUGUGUUCUGCAGCAGGCCUCAAACUACUGCUCCAAGCAUAUUGUUCUACGACGGCCAUGACAUUGCGUUUGCUCCUUACGGGGAGUACUGGAGACAAGUUCGAAGAAUUUGUGUUCUUGAGCUUCUAAGUCUCAAAAGAGUGCACCAGUUUCAGUACGCAAGGGUGGAGGAAGUUGCAGAGUUGGUCAGCAAGAUUCGCAAAGCCUCCGCCAGCGCGAACGGUGCUCCCAUUAAUCUUGGGGAGCUGCUGGUGUCAACCUCCAACAACAUUAUCUGCAGGUGCAUUCUUGGACAGAAGUUUGAGGACAAAGAAGACAACUGGUUUGGGGAGACCACAAAGGAGUUGAUGACUCAGGUGAUGAGUUUCAGCUUUGGAGAUUUCUUCCCUUCUUUGAAAUGGAUUGACCGUGCCAGAGGCUACCUUGCAUAUUUGAAAUCAAUUUGGUUAGAAUUUGAUAAAUUUUUCGAUAAGUUGAUUGACGAACAUAAGGCAGCAGAGAAAGAAGGUAAGCCUCGUAAGAAGGAUAUUGUGGAUAUUCUCCUCGACGUUCAAAAGGAUGGCUCGCUCGACUUUGAGCUCACUACCUCCAAUGUCAAAGCAAUUCUGCAGGUACGUAUAUCCUCCCUAGCUUUAGUCACAUCACACUCACUCACUUUCUUUUCAAACACGCACACGCACACAGGCGCACAUUAAUAAAUCAAUAAUAUAUUUUGUAUUUAUUGAUUACAUUGCUAACAACUCUUUUAAUAGAGGUGAGCCUCAUGAAUUUAUGUGAGAUUCACCUGUAUUAGAGAGGUAGUCAGGAUUGUGAUUAGUAAAUGUCCAAAUAACAACUUUUUAUUUAUUUAUAAAUAUAUAUAUAUAUAUAUAUAUAUAUAGCUGAAGAUUGAUUUGGCUUGUUAAUUUUAUGAUUUUAGGACAUGUUUGUGGGUGGAAGUGAUACUAGUUGGACAGCAGCGAUUUGGUUAAUGUCUGAGCUUUCGCAAAAUCCACGGGUGAUGAAGAAAGUCCAAGAAGAGGUAAGAAGAGUGGCGGGAAAAAGGGGAUAUGUAGAGGAGAGUGACAUCAACGAAAUGAAAUACCUGACAUGUGUGAUCAAAGAAAAUUUGAGACUUCACCCUCCAGCUCCUCUUUUACUUCCUCGGGAAGCAAUGUCUGAUGUAAAAUUGGGAGGUUUCGACAUCCCUGAGAAGACACAAGUGUUUGUGAAUGCAUACGCAGUACAAAGAGACCCCAAAGUCUGGGACAAGCCAGAUGAGUUUAUGCCAGAGAGGUUUGAGGAGAACAACGUUGGUUUCGUAGGUCAGGACUUUGAACUCAUCCCAUUUGGUGCUGGGAGAAGGGUGUGCCCUGGACUUGCCUUUGGGGUUGCUUCAGCGCAAUAUGUGCUUGCCAAUAUGCUAUAUUGGUUCGACUGGAAGUUGCCUAGUGGUGGCAGUAAAUUGGCUGAGACCUUGGACAUGUCCGAAGUUUACGGUCUCACAGUCCAUAAGAAAAGUCCUCUUUAUCUUGUUCCAACACCAUACUCCCCUUGAUCCCUCCAUCAUCCAGAGUUUUCAUGGCUUUUACUUAUGCUCUUAAAUCUGGUUUUUAUUUAUAUUUUUGAUGAACAAGGUUGUAUCUGCAAUACCUGCAGCAACGUAAUUUUUUAUAAUAACAGAUAUAGAGCGGUAUAUGUAAGGCCUCUCUGAGAUGUUUUAAUCUUCUUUGGAAAUUAUGAAAUGCAUUUAAUUAUAGUAUCUCUUGAACAUCUCAAGAUAAAAUGGAUAUGGUGAAAUGGAAGGAGAGAUGAAGCAGUACCAAAAAUAGUUCAAGAAGAGUACCGACCAACCACACCUAACUAAAAACCCAAUUAAAUGGUAGCAGAUAUGGCUAAGCUAAGGUAAGUUUCAAUUAGCAGAAUAAGCAUAGCAAUUAGUACAUGCUUCAGCAGGUUAUGAAUGAUCCAUAAGCUGUUCCAAAAGUUUAUUUUGAUAUUUAAUUGCUAGUAGUUUUGUUGGGAGUUUUAGAGAACAAUGGUCAUAUCUUCUGGUAAUCUUUAAUUAAACCUUUAAUUUCUUUUCUUUUCUUUUCUUUUUCGGGUCCGAAGUAGUAGCUCUUGAGACUCUCCUAAUAAGAUAAUUAAUUUUCUUGACUGAUACUUCUAUAGUAAUUUAGUAUUGUCUAGAUGGGAAUUCUUUGUCUUAUGGGCGUCAGCAAAAUAGCUGCUUAUUGACUUUCCUUGAACAUUUGUUAGCCCAAGUGAAAAUCAUUAAGCAUCAAAAUAAACUCCAGUUGAAUGACCCAUGCCAGAUAAUAUUAUAGGCUUUUAUGUUCUCUAAUUCUACAUCAUUCUUGCUUCUAUACACCGAUUAUCUGGGGCAUGGUUUUUACAUAAUAUCAGACAGUCAGAAUGGAAUUUACUGCCAAUUGUUAUUAUUCUUGGACUGAAUUGUUCUUUUUGGACAUGAUGUAAGUUUUGGGAUUGACAGUGAUCUAUUGGUCCCAUGAGUUUAAUUAAUUCUAUGCAGGUGUUUUAAGCAUUUGUUUAUUCAUAUAAACAGUACAAGUACCUCUAAUAGCUGUUUAAAGGUUAAAAUUGUUUACUUUAUACAUCAAAGGCUGCCGCUAUAAAUGACUGAGGAGCAGAGCUGUGUGGUUAAUUUCGUAUUAUUAAUCACAAGUAGAGGAAAUGGGUGUAUAUUAGUACCACAUUUGCACCAAGUCUGGCUAGAGCUACACAGAAACUUAACCAUCAACAACUUCCUCUUCCUUGCUCUUCUCUUUUAAUUUUGUGUUUUUCUCACAAUCACUAAAUCAAGGGGCAAACUUAACUUACCACCACCAUCCCCACCAAAGCUUCCGAUAAAUGGGAAACUUCACCAGGUAGGCACACUACCACACCGCUCUGUUCGAGCUGUCUCCGAAAAAUUUGGUCCUCUGCCGCUCAUGCACUUAGGCCAUGCUCCAACUCUUGUGGUUUCAUCUGCAUAAUUUGCCAAAGAAAUUAUGAGGACUCAUGACAUUGUUUUCUCCAACCUGAUCAAAACCACAGCUGAAGAUAUUUUGUACUCUGAAUGCAAAGACAUAAGUUCUGCUCCCAAUGGUGACUACUGGAGACAAGUUAGGAAACUAGGUGUUCUUGCACUUUUGAGCCAUAAGAGAGUAAAAACAUUUCAGUUUGUGAGGGAAGAAGAAGUUGCAAUUUUGGUCAGUAAGAUUUGCAAAGCAAGGCUGUCCGAGGCUUAUGUCCUGGUUGUGAACUCAAACAACUUAGUUGUUAGAUGUGUUCUUGGGAGAAAGUUUGAGGACAAAAAUGGUAAGAGCAAGUUUGGGAAACUCGCAAGGAGGAUGAUGGAACAACUUUCAGCUUUCAGUUUGGGAGAUUAUUUCCCUUAUCUGGGAUGGAUUGACCUCCUUACCGGAUUAAUUUUGCGCCUUAAAGCAACCUUCGGAGCAUUAGAUUCUUUGUUGGAUCAGGUGGUUGAAGAACAUAAGGCAGUCGAAAUAGAAAGUCAUCAGCACCAGUCUCUCAAGAAAGACUUUGUGGAUAUUCUCCUCCAAUUCCAAAAAUAUGGCAUGGAUGGUUUUGAACUCACUCAAGAAAACCUCAAAGCAAUUCUAAUGGUCUCUCUCUCUCUCUCCCUCUCUCUCUGUAUACAUUUAAUAGACAAUGUUCUCCACAAUCAAUAAUCCAGAUUUACAGUUUAACAACAUAAUAAUACUUUGACCAAAAAAAAACAUUUCUAUCUCUAAGCUUUUCUUUUUUGCAUGUAUGCAGGACUUGGUGGUGGGUGGAACUGAUACAACUUCAACAUUAUCAGAAUGGGUAAUGGCAGAGCUGGUGAGAAAUCCUAGUGUGAUGAAGAAAGCCAGAGAAGAGGUAAGAAGAGUGGCUGGAAAGAAGUUAAAGAUAAAUAUGAAUGACAUCAAUCAAAUGGAGUACUUGAAAUGUGUCAUCAAAGAAACUCUAAGACUACAUCCACCAGCUCCUCUUUUAAUUCCUAGACAAUCAUCUGCCUCAGUAAAAAUGUGAGGCUACGACAUUCUUCCGAAAAAGAGUGUACGUGAAUGCCUGGGCAAUCCACAGGGAGGGACCCCAAGUUCUGGGAAAGAGCAGAAGAGUUUUUACCAGAGAGGUUUGUGGACAGAAUGAUUGAUUUCAGAGGCCAACACUUUCAAUAUGUUCCAUUUGUUGUGGAAAGAAGGGCUUGUCCUGGAUUGACAUUUGGGAUUGUGACUGUGGAGUUUGUGAUUGCUAACCUAUUGUACUGGUUUGAUUGGAAGCUCCCCUGUGAGGGUGCCAUGGGGAGAGACUUGGAUAUGAGUGAAGUCAAUGGCCUAACUGUUCAUAAGAAAAUCCCUCUUCAUCUUGUUCCAAUACCAUACUCUUUGAUUCAUCACUCGAGAGAUUGUUGAUGAUUAUGUUAAAGUAUCAACACCAGCCCAAUAUCUACACAAUUCUAGAGUUGCAUGUCGGUUUAGUAUAGUCUAGAAAAGUUAGAUAUACUAUAUUAUUGUAGUAAGAAAUAUAUACAAGAAGAAAGCCAAAGUCGGUUAAGCAAGUCGGCAGCCAAAUCGAAGAUUGGGGAAUUUUCUGGGAGAUAGACAACUAUGCGGCUAUUGUAUAAUAGCCAAGGCAGUGGGAUGGAGAGCUAUGUCAGUCAGGAAUUUUUAUAAAUAGGCAUGAAGUCAUGCAUUGUAUAAUUGAGCCUUCUAGAGUUUCUCUAGAAGUGAGAAAGAGUGAUUGUAAGAGUCGGUCUUUUAUUUGAGAGUUCUCUUAUUGUAAUAUUUUAUUAGUCUAAUACAAGUAAUUUGUUUACUUGUUUUGUCUCACACUGAAUAUUUUGUUAGCAACAGGCUCUGCACUUGUUUAGCAAAAUGAGGAGGAGUUGCUUAAUUAAAGUCAGUAGAAAAGGAUUCCUCAACACAAUCAGGUAAGGAGAAGGAGUUCCAUAUUGCUUGAGCUCUAGGACAAAGGAUGAACACAUGCUGAAGAGAUUCCAGAUGGCAGUGACAAAUCGGACAAGCUGAAUUAUUUGUCAUUUUCCUUCUUGUUCUCUGCACAUUGGUCAGAAGUUUAUUUUGGGUUAUCAGCCACAGAAACACUUUAAAUUUGGGAGGAAUCUUAAGCUUCCAAAAAAAAUACCAGCUAUCAUCAUCCCCUUGAGACAAGCUGCAACAAAUAUUAUAAGCAGAUUUAACUGUGAACUCCCCCUUGGAACUAGGGGUGGGCACGGUUCGGUUUGGACCGGUUUUUGCCUCAAAUUAGAAUCGAUCCGGUACUAUUCAUCCGGUUUGGUUCGGUUCGGUUUUAAUUAAAAAAAUUUCAAAAACUGUCCGGUUCGGUUUGAACCGGUUUCGGUCCGGUUCCGGUUCCGGUUCGGUUUUGAACCGGAUUAUAAAAAUUAUUUUUUUAAAUUAUUUUUUAAUACAAUUCUCAACUGAAAUAUUAUUUUUUUACUUGAAAAUUAACAAAUUAUUCAAUUUCAUAUAAAAAAUAAAUAUUAAAGUGAGAAAAGAGAGAUAUUUUGAGAUUGAACUUGGAUAAAUAUUAGGUUUUUUUUCUACCUACCUCCACUCCUUUUGUAAUGUUAAUCUUUCUAAUGUAAGUGUAACAUUGCCACUUGAUUAUUUAUAAAUAAAAAAAUUUAUCGCGACAACGUAUUAUAAUUUGAAUGAAAUUAUCUCCAACACUUUUGCAAAAUCAAAACACCGUGAUUAUUUAUUCAUUACAAUACGCGUACAUGAAUUGAUAAUACCACAUACGUAGCAGUGUUGAAGUCACACAUAAAAUUAUCUCAUGCAUGUUCAAACUUGUAGUGCAGCCAUGACCUCAUUAUUUAAAUAGAAAGGGUAAGAAAAUAAGAGGAAAUUGAAUUCAUGUGGGUCAUGAGGAGACUUUCGGUACUGCAUCAUCAACUUUUCUUCUUCGACCUUUAUAGGCUGCCCAUACACCUGCACUUUCCUGGUCUUAUAUGUGCAAGAGCCUAGAAAUCGCAUAGAAGCCACACAAUCUCAUCUCUAGUGGAAAUAAGAAUAAUGUCAUAAAGAACAUUGAAGUCAAAAAUAUUUGGUGAAAAUGAUUCAAGAUUUGGUGGUCAAUGAUAGCAAGAGUCGCAUCAUUUACACGACGACAAUUGUGAAAAGAAACUACCCCAUCCUUAUUUCUUUCAAUUUUAUUCUCUCAUUUUAUAUGGUUGUAGAUUUCCCUUGAAGAGAAGAGUUAAUGUCCCCAAAACAUACACAUUCGCAACCAUUGAUUGGUACCGUGGACUAAGUACGAGGUUCCACGCAAUCAACUUUUGGCCGAGAGUAAUUUUACAAUACCCAAACUCUUCUCUUCAAUUAAUACUGUCUAAACUGCAAAGAGUUCAUUUGUGUCGCUAAACACAUGCGAAUAAGAUUUGUACUAUCUUAGCUAAUCACUUAACGAACCAUCAAUCUAAUAAAAUUAUGAUUUUUGUUACUCGACACUCGACACUUGACACUCGUUCAUAUUCAAAAACAAGUGCCUCCGUCACGACUGACCUAAACAUUGCUCAUAAAACCACAUUCCACUUGUGUGCGACUCACCUCACAGUAAUUUUCCCCCUAAUUGGUCGGUGAGAAAUUGAUGGGUCCAAUUUCCAAUUUCUAAUUGUUGCCCCAAAUCGAUAUUGUGGGCCACAAUGCCAAGGGAUGGCUGUUUAUUUUGUUAAUGAAUUGGCGCGUAUUUUCUUGUAAAUGGUUGGUUCUUGGUUGUCUCAAAAUCAAGACGCCCUUUGGGAGAGGCAAGUUUCAAUUUUACUUCAACCCCGUAGAAGCAAAUCCAUUUGAAGCCUCUGCUUUCUGCCCUCCUGCCUCUACCACUCAAAGCCUCCAACUUUUUAAGCCUCCUCCUCCCCCUAAACUCAAUUCCAGGCUCUCUCUCUCUCUCUCUCUCUCUUUCUGUCACUCUCCAAUGGAGGCUUCUUCUGCAACAACCAUGGCUUUGAGAGUCUCCUCCUCCUCUUCUUCUUCUUCGUCUUCUUCCUUCUUCUCCAUCUCCCCAAACCACAAGCCCAACUCACUCCCUUUCAAGUUCAGCACUUUCAGACCUCCUCAACCAACCCUCCUAAAAUCUCUCAAAUGCAUCCAAACCCCGCCUUCCAAUUCGAACCCAUUAAAGCAGCCUCUCAAAAACCCUCGCUCUGCCUCCCCCUUGUCCUGCUCUGCCCUUACCCUUUCUUCCUCUCAAACCACCGAGCUCGUCCCCUGCAAGCUCCAAACUUUGAUCUCUGAGUUCCAAGCUUUAUCUGAGCCGAUCGAUAGAGUUAAGCGCUUAUUGCACUACGCCACUCUCCUCCCUCCGUUCAACGAUUCGGACCGGGUCGAUUCGAACCGGGUCAUGGGCUGCACGGCCCAGGUGUGGCUGGAGGCCAAGAUGGACAAGGAGGGCAAGAUGAGAUUCUCGGCCGACAGCGAUUCGGAGAUUACCAAAGGGUUCUGCUCGUGCUUGGUCUCGGUGCUUGACGGCGCGUCGCCCGAUGAGGUCUUGAUGGUCAAGACUGACGACUUGUCGUCGCUGAAUGUGGGUUUGCCGGGUGCACAGAGGUCUAGGGUUAAUACUUGGCAUAAUGUGUUGGUCAGUAUGCAGAAAAAGACCAAGGCUUUGGUCGCCGAGCAACAGGGUAGACCGCCGUUCGAGCCGUUCCCUUCGCUCGUCAUCACCGCCGAUGGGAUUCACGCAAAGGGGAGCUUCGCUGAAGCCCAGGUUAGCAUAAUAGCAUGUGGUUCUUGUUGAUUUUUAUACCUGUAUUGCUUAACAGAAGUAAGAGUUCUGUUAUUUUUUUUUAUAUUUAUAUUCUAAGUUGGAUUUUGUAUUUAAUUGCAGGCGAGGUACUUGUUCCCUGAUGAGUCUAAGGUUGAGGAACUUGUUAAUGUGUUAAAAGAAAAGAAAAUUGGCAUUGUUGCACAUUUUUACAUGGACCCGGAGGUCCAAGGUAUAUUAACUGCUGCACAGAAGCAUUGGCCUCACAUCCAUAUAUCUGAUUCUUUAGUCAUGGCGGAUUCAGCUGUGAAUAUGGCAAAAGCUGGUUGCGAAUUCAUUACAGUUUUGGGUGUUGAUUUUAUGUCCGAAAAUGUCCGGGCUAUUCUUGAUCAGGCUGGCUUUGAAAAGGUAGUUCCUUGUCUCUGUUCAUGGAUUUGUCCUUAAGAAAUGCAAAACGUGUUCUGUACUUGUUAAGGCUUUGAUAUCUCGAAGGUUCAAUGCAAUGCAGAUUCUUCAAAUGUACUGCUCUGUAUCUAUCUUAGUGCAUGAGUUGAGUGUAGUGUGCUUUAUUUGUAGUAGAGUUAACUGGAUUUUGGUUUGGUGCCAGAUACUGGUGAAGCAGUUAAUGGAUUUAUUCCUUUUCCAUAAUCUUUGAUUGCAGGUUGGCGUCUACAGGAUGUCAAAUGAACGGAUUGGUUGUUCUUUGGCAGAUGCUGCAUCUAGCCCUUCUUAUAUGAGUUAUCUUGAGGCAGCUUCUAGGUCUCCUAAUUCGUUGCAUGUUGUCUACAUUAACACUUCUCUAGAGACAAAAGCAUAUGCUCAUGAGCUUGUGCCAACAAUUACGUGUACUUCUUCAAAUGUUGUACAAACCAUUUUGCAGGUUGGUGGGAUUACAACCUUUAUCUCAAUCAUAUGUGAAUUCUGCAAUGUUUCUUGUUAAAAGAUCAAACAGUAUUGGCUUUUUAUUCUUGCUAUCGUACUUUCGUUAAUGCCAAGUCCCUUAUCUCUGCAGGCUUUUGUUCAAGUGCCUGAUGCAAACAUAUGGUACGGGCCUGAUUCUUACAUGGGUGCAAAUAUUAGAGAAUUACUCCAGCAGAUGACUAAGAUGACGGAUGAAGAAAUUGCUGAGAUACAUCCAGAACAUAAUAGAGACUCAAUCAGAUCUUUGCUACCUCGCCUGCAUUAUUUUCAGGUAUUUGUAUUUUCAUGGACUGUUCUAGAGUUGUGCAUAAUUCCUUUCAAUUGGAGAUAAGGAUAGCAUAACAAUUUUUAUUCCUUUAGUUUUCUGUGCAUUUUCUGAUUUUGGUCGUCAUACUGCUUUUUUUUUUUUUUAAAUGAUUAUGCAAAUUUCUGGCAUCAGGAUGGGACAUGCAUAGUACAUCAUUUAUUUGGAAAUGAAGUUGUGGACAGGAUAAAAGAAAUGUACUGUGAUGCGUAUCUAACUGCUCAUUUCGAGGUGCCUGGAGAAAUGUUUUCUUUGGCAAUGGAAGCAAAGAGAAGAGGAAUGGGGGUUGUGGGCUCUACCCAGAACAUACUGGAUUUCAUAAAACAGAGGAUUCAGGAGGCUUUGGAUAGAAAUGUUAAUGAGCAUCUUCAGUUUGUGUUAGGAACGGAAUCUGGAAUGGUGACUUCAAUUGUCGCAGCAGUUCGUGGUUUGUUAGGUUCUGCAAGGUCUGGGGGAGCAGAGAUUAAUGUAGAAAUUGUAUUUCCAGUUUCAUCUGAAUCGGUGACAACAUCAUCAAAUGCUUCCCCAGGCCUUAACUCUGUUAAAGUGGGCGAUGUCAUACUUCCUGUUAUACCUGGAGUUGCCAGUGGGGAGGGAUGCUCCAUUAAUGGCGGCUGUGCAUCCUGUCCAUACAUGAAGGUUAGUUGCCCUUUUCAUGAUUGGUUUUGAUAAGUUCAUGAAGGUUAACACAUUCUUAAAUAUUCUAGCAUGUAAUCUGAUAUGCUGGAGAUAACUAGACUUUUAUGAAAAUAACCAGCCUAUGCAUGUCUCAGUAUUUUUCUGCAUGCAUGUAUGUUAAAUUGGUUGUAGUCUGUAAUACAUCUCAAACUAACACCUGGCCUAGCGUAGCAUUCAGGUCCCACAUAACAGGGACAUUUUUACACAAGAUCUAUCGUUCUUGUGAUACAUAAUUUGUAUUUCGUAGAGUGAUGUGACCAUGAAAAUGGAUGAGAAAAUUCUGGAAGAUAUCCCCUAAGUAUUCUAUUAGUAAAAUUGGUAGGAUGUUCUAUAAAAAGUACCUCUCAUCUUUAGUUUAACUCUCAAAGGUUGCAAGAAUAGCUAAUGCCAGACGUCCUUGGGUUUUCUGAUGUAACAGUUGGUCUUGGCAAGCCUUAUUGGAAAUUGAAUAAAUAGAAGUGGAUGAUUAGUUAUUGUUCAUUUUCCCUCAAGUUAUAUUUUCCUCUCAGAUAUGUUUGAUUGAGCUAAGGUUUCUCACAUAAUAUGUAAUGUAAAAUGCCAGAUGAAUUCUCUCAGCUCUCUCCUGAAAGUUUGCCACCACCUGCCUGAUGAGACGAAUUUUGCUCUUUCCGCAUAUGAAGCUGGCCGAUUCAAACUGCAAACCCCCAAUGGAAAAUCAGUUGCAGAUGUUGGGUGCGAACCAAUUUUGCACAUGAGGCACUUCCAGGUUAGUUACUGAGAACAGUAAAUAUCUGUAUACACAAGGAGCCUCUUGAGUUUUUAGACUCACCUCUCUGCGGAUAUCUUUUGCAGGCCUCUAAAAAACUGCCAGAGAAGCUCAUUUCCCAUAUUCUUCAUCCGUCGGGUAAUGGGAGCUCAUCAGUAUUAAAUUGAGUCAAGCUUAGCCUCAUGAAAUCAGCCUGGAUUAGCAAGCAGAUUAUGAAUCCUGGGGAAGGCUUCCUUGAAGCAAAGCUUUCAUUGCCAGAACUUUGUUGUGCCUUCUCUUCAAUUUCUUUUUCAUAAACGGGUCAUGCAGUUUAUCUAGCUUGAUUGCUCACAGCAUAGUUCAGUGUUUAGAUCUGUUGGAAUGAAAGUUAUAAUAAAAUUGUAACCCCAAAAAGAAAAGGCUAUAAUAACAGUGAUUGUUAUAUUUAAACUGUAUAGUUGUCAGAACAGUGACAUUCUUCAUUGAUUAACAUGGAUUUUAGAUUCCCCUCGUCCGGGGCAAUGCUACGCAGCCAACAAUUGUCAUCUAUGAGAUUUGAAUUCAUGACGUUCUCCACUAAAUUUAAUUAGAGAAUAUGUGUCGCGUGAGAAUAUGUGUCGCUAAACCAAAUUGGUUGAUAGGUUGACACAGCUGUGCAAUAAGAUGAACCAGGCCCAUGGUGAAUAAUGAGGUGAGGUUGUUCUGAUACAAGACCUCACCAACGAACCAGUAUUUAAUUUUUACUGUUGGAAAUAAUUGGUUAUUUUAUUGGCAAAAUUACCUGAACACUGUUGGAUUUUGGCUCACAAGAACAAGAGCAGUGAAUUUUGGCGCUCAUAUUUACCCCACGUCUCGCAACCAAAGCACAGUUUGGAAAUGGCAAUCUGGUAAUUCUGCCACCAAAUGAAGAUCAUAAAGAAAAACUAAUUAUUGGGCUGGGUCUUUAUAUAUAUAAUUUUGAUCAACACUAUUAUUUUAAUAAAUUAAAAAAAAAAUAAAAAAUAAAAAUAAAAAUAAAAAACAAUUCCCGUUGAAUAUUGAAUUGAGUGUGAAGAGGAAAUAGUGGGGUGCACAUUGCGUAAGGCAACAAACCGAAAUUCGAGUCCUUUUGGAACUCAACUCCCUCCUCUGGUUGAAGACGGUGUCGUACUGGGUUGUCGUUUAUAUUACGAUAAUCGCUUCCUCGUCUCGUCCCUCAGACUCAGAACAAACGGAGAAGAUAACCCCCCCAGUUUCUCUCACUGCAAAAACUCCCACCUGGUACGUUCAUCUUCAUUAUUAUAAUUUUUUUUAUAAAGAUUUUCGGUUCUAAUUACAAAACCCAUUGUUCCAGUUCUUAAUGCAAUCCAAAAUCUCUACUGGGAUCUAUGCAAUUACAGUUUAUUUAUUUUUUACCCAAUUGCGCUUUUUCUUUUUCUUUUUUUCCCAGAAUUGGGGAUUGGUUUGUUUCGGUUUAUAGUUGUUGACAAUGUGUAUGUUAAUUCGGGCCUGAAUUAUGUUUGGUUUGUUCUGAAGCUAUGAACUUUGUCAUGGGAACAUUCAAAUUCUGGAAAUUUAACAACCCAGAAUGUGGAUUUUGCAUUUGAAACAAAAACUGAGGUUAAAUGUAGUAAGGUUGUACUCAUAUGCUUGAUUUUUGGAGAGAGAAAAUCUGGUUUCCAUAGUCUGGUAGAUACUAAUUGUAAUUCAAUAUGAUAUUGGUCUUUUAAUGUUCAAAGUUACUUUGCAACUUACAAAUUCGAGAAGGGAACACCAUGGUCUUAUUGGAAAAUUGCUUGAUGAAUUUCUUUUGAGUGAGUUUGGAUGCAACUAAAGGGCCCUGAAAAUUGUUUCUAUAUAUGUUCGAGAAUUUUUUAGAUCCAUUCUUUGGACUUAAAACUUGCCCUGUAGAUGUUUCCCUUGAUACAUUGCUUCUGCUGGUGAUUGUGGUUCCACCUUUAGCAGCGUGAGCACCCAUAAAAUGAAUUGAAUGAAUGAUUGUUGAUGCUGAAUUUAGUCUCAUGAGUGGCACUAAUCUAAGUCUUGUAUUUUGACUGCACUUCAAAAGUACUCAUGCUGCAAUGAAAUUGAACGAUUUUUUUAUUCUGUCUCACAGGAUUCUGCUGCACCUGCAAGCUACAUGAUGGGCUCCACAAAUGGCUUAGCCGGUGCACAGGGGACGCAACCUCUAUUUUCGUUUGGGGUGAUAUCUGACGUCCAGUAUGCUGAUAUUCCUGAUGGCCGUUCUUUCCUUGGCGUUCCACGAUAUUAUAGGCAUAGCAUUGUUGUACUGCAAAGGGCUGUCAAAAGAUGGAAUGAUCAGAAGAGGCAUAAUUUUGUGAUCAAUUUUGGGGAUAUUGUUGAUGGAUUUUGCCCAAAAGACCAAUCCCUGGAUGCUGUAAGAAGAGUUGUUGACAAAUUUGAGGAUUUUAAUGGUCCUGUCUAUCAUAUGAUUGGUAAUCACUGCCUCUAUAAUCUUCCCCGCACCAAAUUACUUCCGUUGUUGAAGAUUCCAAGUGUUGAUGGUCGUGCAUACUAUGACUUUUCACCAACACCAGAAUUCAGAUUCGUUGUUUUGGAUGGCUAUGAUAUCAGUGCCAUUGGUUGGCCUCAAGAACAUCCAAAUACAAUAGAGGCUUUGAAAUUCCUUGAGGAGAGGAAUCCAAAUACAGACAAGAACAGUCCAGCUGGCCUUGUAGGCCUCGAGAGAAGGUUCCUUAUGUUCAAUGGAGCAGUUGGAAAGGAACAAUUGGAAUGGUUAGACGACAUCCUCAAGGAAGCAACAAAGUUGAAACACAAAGUAGUGAUUUGUUGCCAUCUGCCUUUAGAUCCUGGGUCAUCAGCCAAAGAAGCACUUUUGUGGAACUAUGACGAAGUCAUGAGUGUGGUACACCAGUAUAAUUGCGUGAAAGUUUGCCUUGCUGGGCACGAUCACAAAGGCGGCCACUCUGUUGAUUCCCAUGGAAUCCACCAUAGAGUUCUUGAAGCUGCCCUUGAGUGCCCUCCUGGGACAGAUGCAUAUGGAUAUAUUGACGUUUAUGAUGAUAAGCUUGAACUUACUGGUACUGACCGAAUGAAGAGCACUGACAUGCUAUACAAUCCUCAAGCAGACUUACAAGAUAACUGGCAUUAAGAAGUUCGUUAACAAAUUCUUUUGAAUUUGGUGUAUGUUAUUUGGAGAUGUGUGAUUAUGCAUAAGUCUUGAAAGGGCUUGGCUCGAAAUAGUUCCCUGCAUAUAUAUUGGGGAGACCAGAAACUUCUCAUGUUUUGUACUCCCAUGAGAACGAUAUAUACAAAAUCAUAUUUGACUGUCAUGACCAGUUUGUUGCUUUGCAUUUAUGUUCUGCGACACAAUUCAUGAAUACUCGUGAGUGCACAUAUUUGUCUAUGAAAGGUGAAAUUUGCGUAAACUUAGCCCUGUAAUGUAACUCAGAGUGCUAUUAUAUUCUUCUUUCAUAUUCUUCUUUUUGGUGUUAAUAUUGACUCUAAAAAUUUGCUACUUUUAAGAACGGAGUCUAGUAGCUUAGUGAAAAAGAGCAUUGACUUGCAGAUUAAUGUUUUCAUAUUUAAACUCAUGGCACCUUAAGUUCACCUUGAUAGUGUGUGUGAUAACUCCAAUUUGCAUGCUAGUUCAGGAAAGUACUUUGGUUUCUGUUGUCAUCUGUCUGCAUCAUUAACAUUCACUAAACAUUGCAUAUCAACUUUUUACAAAAAGUUAUUAUUAUAGAUUUUUCUUUUUUCUUCUCCCACAUAGACAAUGCUUCCAAUUUUCUGAAAACCAAUUUCAUCCUAGCCAUGUAACCCUUUCCACAUUGCCAAUUUGUCAUUUCUACCUUUCAAACCACAUUAAGCCCCACCAUUUAAUUACCUCUCAGUAUUAUAUAAAACAGUACGAUGAAAAUAAAAUACCAAAAACAAAAUCAUGCAAACUACUACACUCUUUUUUUUUUCUUUUUUUUUUGGGUCAACGCAAGGAAACUACUGAAGUCUGAGAUUGGCAGUUCAUAUUUUUCCUUCACUUCUCGUGGGACGACUUUGCCUUUCUCUUUUCAGCAAUAAAGAAACCAGCCAAGGACAAAACCGAGAAAACACUGAAGCAAACGGACGCAAUAUCAAGGGACGCGUGGCGUCCAGUGAUUGCCUGGACCACAAACAAGUUGGUUUCCUUUUGAGCGUCUGUGGUCUGACCGUAAGCCACCUCAACAUCCGCGGCGUCGUAGGCGUAGGCGCGUAGAAAGUACGUGGCGGAAGGCACGUCGCGCUCGAUGGUCCACUCGAAGCUCUGGUUCGAGCUGCUGUAGGGCCUAGCAACGACCUUGAAUUGGCAUGUCUUGUCCUUGUUGAGGCUGUCCACCGUCUUCCUCCACCCGCGGUCCACCUGGCUCACCGGCGCGUAGCAGAACUUCACCUUGAUGGUCUUGUAGGUUGAGUCUGAUCCAGCUGGGAAACUCUGGUUCAGACCCCACGAGACGGUGAGUUUGUCUAUCCCUGUUUUGUAAACUGCAGAAAUUUCAUGAAUCUUGAUUAGUUUUGCAUCAAUCUGGUAAAGAAAAUGAAAAAUUAAAGAAACCCAGUUGAAAAGUUAGGAUUUUGAACAAGAAAGUUGGAGACUUUGCGGGAAUUACAAUGAAAAGUAAAGGAAACCCAGUUUCAAAAUCAAGAUUUUGGACUAGAAAGUUGGAAAAUUUUAAUAGGAAAUGUUUAUAUAUACCCUGUCCUUCUUUGUGUGAAGCAGUGACUAUGAGAGUUUGUUUCAGAGACGAAAGGAGGACACCAUGGGAGGUUUCUGCUAAGCAAGAGAGGAGAAGAAGAGAAGCCAAAAGAAUCCCAGUAGAUGCCAUCUGAGACUGAGACUUCUUAAUUGCAAAUCACCAAAGCCAGAGAGAGAGAGAGUACAGGAUUUGAUUCUGAAGGUGGUGAUAUUAACAGGCACCUGGGUUCUCUUUAUAUACAAGGCACAAUGUUCAAAACCAGAAUAUUAUAAAAACUGAGAAUCGGGUUUGGCAGACGUAUGCAGAAAAGGUCAAAAGGCCCAAAGUGUAUGCUGGCUUUUGUGAAAUUAACGAUCGAAAACAUGCAAAUAUUUCUGGAGAAGCGUGUAAUAAUUAUACGAUGAGAAUGGCUAAAUGGCCCUAAAGUACACUGAAGGGGUAAGGGUUAUGGCCCUUAUGGGGUCUGUUUAUAUUAUUCAAAACCAGAUUUUUUGCGAUGGAUGUGUUUGGGGUUUUGUUUAUGGAUUGACUUUUAGCAGUUUCAAUUUUUAUACGCAGUUCAAGUUGUGAUGGACAAGACAAGAUGGAGAUAUGCGUGGUAUUGUGGCCCGAUGUUCAUUCUCUUUUUGUCCUUUAAUGUCCUGUGAAGGGCAAACAAACGAGACACCAAGUAAUUGGGAUGCAAUGAAGCUUUACGAUUGUUAGAAAAAAGAUCCUAGCUGAUCCCUAGAUAUUAUUAUAUGAUAAAUAAAAUAGAUUCUUUUUUUAUAUGAAUCUAUAUAAAUUCAAACGUCAUACUGAACAGAGCUGUCAAGUGGGAGAGGAGGUGUGUGUCCAACCUCCAACUCCAUCAUAUUCAAAACAGGUAUUUUACACUAGAAGUAGAACUGUGCAAGCAAGUUAUACUCAAUUAUUGAGAAGAGUCAACGAAGUAGCUCUCUAAAUAGAAAGUCGACGCAAAAUGCUUCACAAUUGCCCAAAGUAAAGUAGGAAGAAAAAAACAGAAGGCUAAAAGUCACUUUUAGUCCAUGUAGUUUGUGUUGACGUUAUUUGUGGAUAUUGACUUACUUUCCUUACACACCAAGAAUUCCUAUUAUAAUUGUAAUUGAUUUAUUUUAAUUCCUGAUUUCCUACUGUAAAUGGAUUUAUGAAUUUAUUAUUUACUUGCCCAUUCAGAUUUCGUUGUAUUAUAAAUAUGACCUCCUACAAGGAGAAGAAUACACAGAAAAUUCCCACAAACAAAUAUUCUCUCAUAGUUUUCAUAUUUUAGCAUGGUAUCAGAGCGGCGAUCUUGGAAUUGCUGACUCUAGUUUCAAUCCCCCGUCGCCGCUAUGGGGGUUGAUGAUUUUUUCAACCCUCAUGGAGGUAGCACCGCCGACUCCUUUUCUCAUUCUCAACCAAUCAUCGUUGAGUUGAGUGCCCAGAUGGCUCAGCUCCUACAUAUGCAGACUUUGACCCCGAACCCAAUCUAGAAUCAGGAUCUUCUUUUGACGACCCCGACCCCGACUAUGAUGAUGACGAUCCCGACCCCGACUCCGAAGACGACCCCGACCCCCACUCCGAUGACAACCCCGACCCCGAAUUUGUCUCUGAUUCAUACCCCGAUACCGAUUUCGACUCCGACUCAAGCUCAGAUUCCGAUCCAAAUUCCUACUCAACCUGUAUCCUAUGCAUCUUCCGCUGCACAGAUUAUGACUUCUCGACUAACGACCCCGACACAUGGACCAGAUUGCGCAUAUUGUGGUGAUCCGAGACACACUUGUGAGACUUGUUUUAAAUUGCAUGGCUACCCCGAUUGGUGGGCUACUUUUACAAAUCGAGGACAAUGCAAUAUGACCAGUAAUGGUACUGGUUAUGGAUUCCAUACUUCUGAUAAGAUUGACUCCAGGAGCUGGAUAAUUGAUUCCGGUGCAACUGAUCAUAUGACUUUUGAUCCUGAUGAUUUUCUGAAUACUACACAACCUCGACGAACCUGUAUUGCAAAUGUCAAUGGUGUUACUUAUCCUGUGACAGGGGUUGGCACUGUUAUACUUUCAUCCUCUCUCACACUGUCUAAUACUUUACUUGUUCCAUAUUUAUCCACUAAAUUGUUGUCAGUUAGUCAGCUUACUGAACAAUUGAAUUGUUGUGUACUCAUUUACCCGAGUUUUUGUUUGCUUCAGGAUAUUCACACUAAGGAGAUUCUUGGUUGUGGUACUAAAAGAGGGGGGCUAUAUUAUGUCGAUGACUUCAGUCCCGGCGUAGCUAACAAUGUGACACAUCCCUUUGAUAGCAAACAAAAGCAAAUCUGGUUGUGGCACCGUCGAUUGGGACAUCCGUCUUUUAGUUAUAUGAAGCAUCUUAUCCCAUAUUUAUUCUCAGGUUUCAAGGACUCCGACUUCACAUGUGAUACUUGUAUUUUGGCUAAGAGUCACCGUGUGCCCUACCUGUUGAGUACGAACAAGUGUACUACUCCAUUUACCUUAAUUCACUCUGAUGUCUGGGGACCUUCGCCUAUCACUGCUCAUUCUGGUGUUCGAUGGUUUGUCACAUUUAUCGAUGAUUGUACACGGAUGACAUGGCUUUAUUUGUUGAAGAAUAAAAACGAAGUGUUUUCCCGUUUUCAGUCCUUCCAUGAACAGAUGAAAACUCAAUUCAAUGCUCAAAUCCAGAUUCUUCGCUCAGACAAUCGUGGAGAAUUUGUCAAUCAUAACUUUCAAACUUACUUCCAACAACAUGGAAUUAUCCAUGAGACGACUUGUCCUCGGACACCACAGCAAAAUGGCGUUGCUGAACGAAAGAAUCGACAUCUUCUUGAAACCGCCCGAGCACUUCUGAUUGGCGCUCAUGUUCCUCGCCAUCACUGGGAUGAUGCUAUUGUCACCGCAGUACACCUGAUCAACCGCAUGCCUUCUGGUGUAUUGACCUUUAAAACUCCCUUACAGGGUGCUUGCAGAACACAGCCCUCUGCCCUUUAUUUUGGUACUCACACCCCGAAUCUUUGGAUGUGUGGCUUUCGUUCAUCUCCAUAAAAAUCAACGUAGCAAACUUGAUCCCUGUGCGCUUCGUUGUGUUUUUGUGGGUUAUGCCACUCAUCAGAAAGGUUACCGCUGUUAUCACCCUCCUACUCAACGAACUUAUGUCACUUUGGAUGUGACCUUUCUGGAAUCUGAGCUGUUCUUCCAUGACCCAUCAUCCAAUUCUACGCUUCAGGGAGAGAUACAAAGUGAAGAGCAGAAUUGGAGCAACUUGGAAAACAAAGAAAUUAUUCUCUGUACAGAAAUGAUUGAUCAUCCCGAGUCUGGAGCACAAGAUUACUCUCUGUCGAAAAGCGACCAAUCGCCCAUUCAUAGUGAUCAAUUGUCUGACCCACCUGAUCCAUGCGAAGAUAUUUCUGAUCCGAGUUUCACACCUACAGGCAAUACAGAACAACAAGAUGAAGACCCCAUCUCUAACUCAACAGUACCAACAGACCAAUCUCCUGAGAAUAUCUAUGAGGUAACUACUCCUACUAGACUUGUACAUUUAGAUGAUAAAUCUAUUGGAUAUCAAUUACCUUUCAGGCAAAAUCGUGGGAAGCCACCAAACCGUUAUUCACCUGAUAUUGGCAAGACAUCCAAGUAUCCAAUUGCAAAUCAUGUAUCCACUGAGAAGCUGUCUGAACCACUCAAGGCUUUUGUGCAUCAGUUGUCUGCUAUCCAUAUUCCAACUAAGGUCUCUGAAGUAUUGAAAGAUCCUAAGUGGGUCCAAGCUAUAAAAGAGGAGAUGAAAGCUCUUGAGAAAAAUCAAACUUGGAUAUUGGAGACUAUACCACGAGAAAAAAAAACUAUCGAAUGUAGAUGGGUGUUUACUAUAAAACACAAUGCAGAUGGAGCUAUCGAGCGAUACAAGGCAAGACUUGUGGCAAAAGGGUACACACAGACCUAUGGUAUAGACUAUGAAGAAACCUUUACUCCAGUUGCAAAGUUAAACACCGUCAGAGUCUUAUUGUCCCUUGCAGCUAAUUUGGAUUGGCCACUACACCAGUUUGAUGUAAAGAAUGCUUUUCUACAUGGCGAACUCACGGAGGAGGUGUACAUGGACAUUCCUCCUGGAUAUAAUACUUCUCAGACUGGAACAGUUUGCAGGUUACGAAAAGUAUUGUAUGGAUUGAAACAAUCUCCACAUACAUGGUUUGGACGGUUCACCAUGGCAAUUAAGAACAAUGGUUUCAAACAGUAUAACUCAAAUCAUACUCUGUUCUUGAAACAUCGAAAAGGGAAGGUAACAGCAUUAAUAAUCUAUGUUGAUGAUAUGAUUAUUACUGGGAAUGAUAAACAGGAAAUAUCACAGCUACAAGACUAUCUGGCUACGGAGUUUGAGAUGAAGGAUCUAGGUGGACUCAAGUAUUUCUUGGGAAUUGAGGUGGCUCGAUCACAGCAAGGCAUAUUUCUCUCUCAAAGAAAAUAUGUCUUGGACUUGUUGACAGACACAGGAAUACUAGAUUGCAAACCUGCGGACACUCCUAUUGUUCAGAAUCAUCAUCUUGGAGAAUAUCCGGAUCAAGUUCCAACUAACAAAGAAAGAUACCAAAGGUUAGUGGGAAGAUUGAUCUAUUUGUCACAUACUCGACCAGAUAUUGCUUAUGCGGUGAGAGUCAGUCAAUUUAUGCACUCUCCAAGUGAAGAUCACAUGAAUGCAGUUCUUCGGAUACUUAGAUAUUUGAAGUCUGCACCUGGAAAAGGACUUAUGUUCUCAAAGCAUGGUCAUCUAAAUAUUGAUAGUUAUUCAGAUGUAAAUUGGGCAGGUAAUGUAACAGAUAGAAAAUCUACAUCGGGUUACUUCACAUUCGUGGGAGGUAAUUUGGUGACAUGGAGGAGCAAGAAACAGAAUGUAGUAGCUUUAUCCAGUGCAGAAGCCAAGUUCAGAGGCAUGACUAAAGGUAUUUGUGAACUUCUUUGGUUAAGAAAGUUGCUUACUGAACUUGGGUAUAAACCUACAUCCACAAUGAAUCUCUUUUGUGACAACAAGGCUACUAUAGCCAUUGCACAGAAUCCGGUUCAGCAUGAUCGUACUAAACAUGUUGAGGUGGAUCGACACUUCAUCAAACAGAAGCUUGAGGCUAAAGUGUUUCAGUUUCCUUUUGUGAAAUCCGAGGAUCAAUUGGCGGAUAUUUUGACAAAGGCAAUUUCCAGUAAAGCAUUCCACAAUUCACUGGAUCAGUUAGGCAUUGGCGACAUCUAUGCACCAACAUGAGGAGGAGUGUUGACGUGACUUGUGGAUAUUGACUUACUUUCCUUACACACCAAGAAUUCCUAUUAUAAUUGUAAUUGAUUUAUUUUAAUUCCUGAUUUCCUAUUGUAAAUGGAUUUAGGAAUUUAUUAUUUACUUGCCCAUUCAGGUUUCGUUGUAUUAUAAAUAUGACCUCCUACAAAGAGAAGAAUACACAGAAAAUUCCCACAAACAAAUAUUCUCUCAUAGUUUUCAUAUUUUAGCAGUUUGGUACUUCAAUCACUUUUGACCCUAUAGUUUCAAUUUCGUCAAUUUUGACCAUGUAGUUUUAUAUUUGAAGCAAUUCAAGGACAAGUAGGUAUUCCUUUCAAUUUCUUUGAAGAUGCAAGGGGCAAUUUCGUCAACCCAAAAUCCUUGAGCAUAAAAGCUUGUCUGAAACUCCCCUAAAUUCAUAUUAGGGCUUGAAAUUGAUCAUUUGGGUUUAGGGCUUUUCAAAAUUGGGAUUAGUGGUUGAAUUUUAAGUCAUAAUAUGAAAUGAGGAGAAUUUCAAACAAGUUUUUACGUUCAAGGGUUUUGGGUUGACAUAAGAAUACUAACAUGUCCUUGAAUUGCUACAAAUAUGAAACUACAAUGGCAAAAUUGACGAAAUUGAAACUACAAAGUCAAAAGUGAUUGAAGUGUCAAACUACAGGGACCAAAAGUGACUUUUGGCCAAAAAAAUCUCUCUCGAUCAAGCUACACUGCUAUAGCAUUUUCAUAUAAAAGGAUUGGAAAUUGCUCUCAAAUACCACUAUUACGGUAGCAAAGUUCUCAAAUGACAUUAUUCAUUCCCGCAAUAAAUAGUUUCAUUAUAUAGAUUGCGUCUCGAUAUAUUGCCCCAUUAUUUUGAUAGCAAGCAGUUCAAAUAGUGUCGAUAUGACAUAAACAAAGUAUCAAAGUUCUAAGGAUACUAUUGAUAUUGUCCCAUUAGUUUGAUAGCAAACAGUUCAAAUAGUGUCAAUAUGACGUAAACAAAAGUAUCAAAGUUCUAGUGAUAAAAUCGAUAUUGCAGAUUUUCUACCAUAAGAGAAUUCAUAGCGGGGGGUGUAAAUUCGGGGGUGUAAAGCCAAUUUUAUAUUCUCUUUACACCUCUGGGGGUGUAAAUAUGUUUUUUCUCCAGUGGGGGGUGUAAAUUCGGGGGUGUAGCUGUGGGUCCCAGCCUUUUAUGUUGACUUUUCUUCAUUUUUCUUUUCUUUUCUUGAGUGGAUCCCACCUGCAAGGGAUGUAAAAAUAGAUGUAAAUAUACAUUUUAUUUUACAUCCCCAUAGUGGUGAUGUAUAUUUACAUCCAUUUACAUCUCUCUAUUGGAGACGAUUCCGGAUGGUCUAAUAAUGCUAUUUGAAAACUUUAGUAAAGCAACGGUGAUGUUCAAGGGCAUCUCCUUAAAAGAUGAACAUGUAUUAGGGAUUGAGGCUUGAGGGUUGAGGCCUGCAGCCCAAAUAAAGUAGGUGCUUAUGUAUCGGUAUUACCCAUGAGUGAGUUUCAUGGGCUAAAACAUCCAAAGCCCCAUGAAUAAUUAAAUAUCAUGUAUGUAUCAAAAGUGAAGUGAAGACAAAUAUUACACUCACUCAGAAAUACACAGAGCAAAAGACAGUGACCGAAAAAAUGCCGGCCAAAUUUCCUCUUUUCCUAGGUUCUCUCUCCCUCUCUCUCUCUCCAUAUCCAAUCCACGUUUUAUUCACAGUUUACAUACAUACACCCAAGAGACGAGAGAAGUCUUGGGAGACUGAGAACGCACGUAGCCAUGGAGAAGAGAAUAUUCAGCAGAGAAAGCAGAAGCGGCCCCAUGCUAACCAUGCAGCACAACAAGCAGCGGCAGCCACUUAUGCUAGAGGUCCAACGUCGUAACAAAACCCAGCAAGUAGCCGACCUCACUGACUUCAUGAACGACAUGUUUUUUGGCACCGUAAACGCCGAGUCCAAGUCCUAUAACUUGACCGGAGACGACGUAGACGACGUAAAAUACGAGGACGACGGCGACAGCCCAAGACCCACAUCCGCCACUACUACUAACAGCAAAAUGACUCAGGAAUGGCUAGAAGAGGCCCGGCGCAUUGUGGCCUCGUCCCCAACUCGGUGUGAAUCGCCCUCUCGACUCGCUGCUGGCUCACCGCGCUUUGCAGCUCCCCCGCAGGCGCCAAGAUUGUCAUUUUCUUCCGCCCUUGAUCGCCGGGACGCACUCUCUAGGUCCGCCAGAAGGUAUAAUAACAUGCCCAAUUCAAUUAACUAAUUUGUAUUUGAUUUAAUCAAAUGUCAAAUCCCGAAAUUACCCAUCGUACAGGCACCGAGCGGCGGAGAGUUUUAGUGGCGAGAUCCUAUCCAAGUCAGCCAACAAGCACACCAGAAACAAAUCUGACGUGCUGUUGUUGGAGGGGCCUACUUCGCCUGCAUCGCCAGUGGAAUCAUCGCCUGCAUCGGCGGUCCACAAAUGGUUUUCCAACAUCCUCAAGCCCAACUCCAAUCCCUCUCUGGCCCAGCAGCCCAAUCCCGAGCCCAAGGCCCAAACUGGCUCUCCCGGCCAGCCUGUCAACCGUAGGUCACGGUUCCAAAAUGACCCCUCCUCGCCUCGCCCACAAGGGAUUCCGAUCCCUUCUCGGCGGACUUUCCAAAGCCCGACGCUUUUGCCUGAUGCCAAGCCGCUGUCUCCCCCCAAAAACCUUGUCCCGUCAGCCCAUCGUCGGUCCAUAUCGUCGACCACUUGCUCCAAUGGGAAGGGUGUGCCAAAGCCCAGUGUAAUUGGGUGGCCCAAAGAUGAAGCCCAAGUCCAAACCCAAAACCAAGACCUUGAUCUUAAUAGGUUUCUCAAAGAGCAAAGGACUAAGGUUGAGAAAGUCGUGGAUGGUCAAGUUAAUGCCAAGGCUAAAAUAGUACUUUCUGACCCCUCCAAUAGUAAGUAUGCCUUAUCAUAUUCUUGGACAUUAGUGAACCGCAUAAUGGGACAUGUGAUGUGUUAAUUAUCAAUAAUUGAUGUAAUAAGUGAAUCUCACUUGUGACGCGCAUAAAAUGGUUCACUAGGGUUUAGUUCACAAAUUGAUUAUCACAAUUCUUUAUAAAACAAGUAAUGUGUAAGCCAUAUUCUAUUGGAAAUGUAGGCUCAAGUACAAUGGCAGCAGCAAUAUGUUAUGCAUGGUUACUUGAGAACAGGGCGAGGAAGGAAAAUAAGAGCAAAGGGAAUGGGGAGGAGGAGUAUGUGGUGGUUCCUGUGAUGAAUGUGAAGAGAGGGAGCAUGUGGAAGCAAAGAGAGGCUGCUUGGCUAUUUCACCAUGUUGGCCUUGAUGCCACUUCAUUGCUCUUUGCUGAUGAGGUACUUCAAAUCCCAUAUGCUUUCUCUGCAAUGCUAUAGUUGGUAACAAAUAUUUUGCAUAGUAUUUUGGGGUUUCUGUCUAUAUUUUAUCCUCCUUUGGCAUUGUAGCCAAAUGCUAUAAGUUGGUUGGUUUUGUUGAUGCAAUCUGGUGUUAGGUGGACUUGGAGAGUCUCAUGAUGGCUGGGAAAUUAAACAUCCUUGUCAUCGGGCAAGACAUUUUGACGAAUAAUGGGGAGGUAAUUGGUGCAGAUAUGCAGUAAAUUUUCAAAGUACAAGAACAGUUAUAACAAGUAUGCAUAGACAUAACUUAGCUGAUUGAAGUGUGUUGUUUACCUGUCUUUUAUAGGUUGGAUCACAGUGCACCAUUCUUACAGAUAAUUACUGUGAAGAUGCUUAUGAUCUACUUGAAAACCCUUUGCUCAAGAAACUUUUGGUAAAUCACAUAACUCUUUCAGGAAAAGAAAAAAAGAAGCAGCAUUUUUUUUUUCCUUGUUUGAUUAGGAUUUUGAGUGAUUUCCUGUGAUGCAGCUUGCAGGUAUAUUGUUAGACACUCAAAAUUUGAAAGCAUCUCCUCAAUUGUCUAUGACAAGAGAUGCAGAGGCAGUCCAGUUGCUAUUAGUUGGCUUACCAUCCAAUUACAGGAAUUCCCUUUUCGAUCAACGUAUGUGCUUCUAUUUUAGUUGGCUUAUAUACGUCUAGUAAAUUGUAACAAUCCAUUUUUUUUGGGUUCUCUAUCAGUGACACAAGAUCAAAGAGACAAUUCCUUUCUUGAAGCUUUGCGGCAAAGUUAUGGGAAGCCUCCUAAUGAAAGUAGGUUACUAUGCAUGAAAAAUGAGCAUUGUCAUUGAAACCCUUUGGUUGUUGUUCUAUUGCUUUGUUGGCUUUUAGAACCAUGAAAGUUGUUUUUAAUGACUUUCUCAAUGGUUUCACAUUAGGGUUAUGAUCCUUGACAGCCUUUAACACUUGUUGUGAUGAUUUCAGGUGGUGGUGAUAACAGAGAACAUAAUGAGCAGAAGGUUUCAGAAAGGAAAUCAACCUCUAUUUCUCGCCACGAAGCCAUCAUCCAAAAGCCAGACAAGAAUUCUAAUGAUGCAAGAAAUGCAAAAAAGGCUUCACCAAAAUCAGGUUAGACUGCACUAUAUUCCCUACGGCUUUUUACACAUUCACUUAUUCAUUACUCUUGUAAAAGUUUUAAACUCUUACUUUUCCCUUGAUGCCUAAAGCUUUGACAUCUUUUCCCUUGUAGCUAAACCAAGUUCUGCAGCAGUCCAAGCCCCUUCACCUGAUGCCUCCCGCGGAAAGAAUAAGUUCUUCCUGGCAAAGUGGUUUGGUUUUAAAUGAGGACAAAAAUCUGUGGCAUUUUGUUCAUUGUAAAUUCAUAUAGGACAACUUAAAUUUGAUAACAUGUUAGAAGAAAAAACUGAAACCGUCUUUAAGAUAUCUGCCAGUUUCAUCAGACGGGCGAGAUUGGUUCGGGUAAACUAUUUCUGUUUGUGCUUGGAAGAGGAAAGAUUUGAAACUACGACACAUAAUUUAGUAAGAAGAGGGAAUGUAAAAUGCCUUUGUGGCGUAUUGUAUUAUUACUUUUGUCUCGGACAAUAAUGGUUCAAGUUGCAAAAAGUUUUAGCUUUUGCUUAUAUGACAGUGUUUUUGAGAUGUCAUUGUUGUUCUUGUACAUGAUGAUGAUGCUGACAUGCAUUUUGAGAUCUUAUUUUCUACGACCAAAUUUCUUUGUUUGUGUCCCUUCACAAGAACUGUCUGCCUGCUGUAAAUGUGUGGUAAAAGUGGAUGCUGAUGUUGAGUUCAAUCCCAUACUGUCAUCUAAAAAUCUCCAGGUAAAAGCAAAAAUUUAUUUGCUGUCAUUCUUGGUUUGUGAUAAUGCCAUUUGAAAGUUUUGAAUAUGCUCCUUCAUAUGCUAAUCCAAAGCAAUGAAAUGAUAAGCUCUUGGAUAAAAAGCAGAAAAUUCAUCAUGAACUGCAACAGAAGGACCUGAGUUGGCAGUCAAAUUGGAAUAACCUGAAUAGUUGAAGCCAUCCAAUCAAAUCUUUUUCCAAAAGCGGAAAGAAAGUUUUUGCCUUUCAACCUUAUUUUUCCUCUUCAAUCUAAUUUUCCAUUUUUUCCCCUUUCAUAUUUGAGGUCAAAAAGCAUGAAAAGUAAGGACACAGAAAAAUGAAAAUUUAUGUCCUAAAGACUGAAACUCGGUAAACUUCAGAGUAGUAAAGUGAAAAUUAUCCAAUUGUAUAUUCAUAUGUGGUGCAAAUAGUCUUGCAUUAGUGAUUCAAUCAUCAUCAACAACUCCUCCUCUCUGUCACAUGUAACAACAUUUUAUGCCAGAUACAAACAUUCAGUACCCUUUGAACAUAUUGGUCUAUAUUUCUUUUAUAUAAAACUUUGGAGACAUCACAUACAUGUUGGUAGGAAAAGAAAAAAAAAAAGAAGAGUUUGAAAUAUUGCUCAAUUAUCAAGAUCAGAUCAAGAAAGAGGAAAGAGAAUUUGUAUAAAAAUAGGUGGAGAUGCCUCUAGAUGGGGAAUUAUUGGGCAUGUAAGUGAUACCAUCUGUCUUGUCCAAUUGUGCCCAUUUGUUCAACCCCAGCUGUAACUAACUUCUUCCAUCCAACCCCUCUCUUGGGCCCCACCUCUUCCAUUCUCAAUCCAAACCUCUCACUCACAAAUCCAAUCUGCAUCUACAUCAUUCCAUGCUGUCCCCAUUCCUUGCUCGGGCCCCAUUUCAUUUGCCAGCCUCAUUCUUCUGCUGCUGAUGAUGAUGAUGAAACUACCAGUCUACCAUAUUUGAUAUGUUGUUUCUCAUUCAACCUUCCAGGCAUAGAGAAACAAGCAAAACUCAGAUGAUCCACUUGCAUUAAGCCCUUCUAUUGACCCUAAACUGGUCUGGGAUGACAAUGGAGUGGAUGACAGGGAAGAAAAUGGUGGUGAGGAGGAUGAUGACCUGGACAGUGGUGAGAGAGAUGUACUGGAAGGCAAAACUGGCUUGAAAAUAAACAAUGCAUGCCUCAAACCAGGACUAAAAAGCCAGUCAUGGACAUCCCAAUAAACCUCAAUUCUCAACUUGUUGAUAUGAAUGGACUCAUUACCUCUGAAUUUCCACUGAAGGUGUUUAACAUGAACCACCAAAUGCCCAUCUACCCUAAUCUCCAAUUCUGGCUCAACCCCAUUUAAUGAAUUGCCAUUGCUGAUGCUCCCAGCUCUGUUCUUGCAUUCAAUUGCAAUUUCAUGAAGCCUGCCUCUCUCAUAAAACUUGGCUUUUGUGGAGAACUUUUUCUUGCCAAAGAUGUGUUCUUUUUUAGAAACCAAAGUGGGAUCAAUCAGAGCAGGCCUGUACCCUGUCUUCCUAUAUGCAUCUUUCUUCAGAUCACCAAGAAGCAACACAACCUCUUCAUCACAAACAACUGCUACAUAAUACUCUGACUUGGGCUCUGUCCCACCAUUGAAUUUUGCAGACUUGAGGUCCCAGAAGAUGUCAACUGCUUUGCCAUCAACUACAAAGCGCUUGGAGCCUUGUUUUCUCCAAAAGUACCAUGGCUUGAGCUCAACUUUGCAGGUCUGCUGGUUUUCUCCAUCUGGGCCUUCAAGAGAUACAGAUAGGCCAUGGAGCAACAAGUUCUUGCACCAUGUGAUUGUGAUCAAGCGGCACUGAUCAGCAAUCUUGGCUCUGUACACAGACAUGUAAACACUGUGGCCUGACCUAGUUACAGCUGAAGCAUCAUCGCUCAGCUUCUCACUUGAUGAAAAGCAAGCAGGGAUGCCAAUAUGGUCUUGCAUACUUUUGUUAGUGAUCAAAAACUAGUUAAUCGGCAAAACCCAGUUUGCAAAAACAAUAUCUGCAAGAUGAGGAACAAAUUGGAGAGAAGUUGGAUUGUGAAGGGGGAAUUUUUAACAUGGGGAGAGUGAGAGAUCUUAGUCACAAGAUGUGUUGGGUCACCAGAUGCUGCCAGAGGUGUGUUUGGAAGCAUUAAUGGAAUUAAAAAUUGAUUUCCAAACUGGCGGAUAGACUGGCAUUGAGUGAGAGUGAGUGUAGAACCACCCUUUUAUAUUCAAUUAUAUCUGCACCACUGCUAACCUCUCUUACCUGGAUUCUAUUUUAUUUGUUUGUUAAACUUUUUUUUUCCUCCUUUGCUUCACUUUAUUUUAUUUUUAUCACAUAAUACUUUUUUUAAUAUCCCUUUUAACAAGGACAACUUGAUUGAAUCCGAGGUGGUUUUGCUUCUGCUACACUUUAAAAUACUUAUACAAGGCGGCCAUUUGUUCACCAGAUUUGUUCAAAAGAUGACCAGACCAGUCAAAAACUAUAAGUCUAUAAUAAACGUGAAGGUGGAAGAGUUUGGUGUUGGGUUUGGUUUUCCAAUGUGGGUUUUGUUGACUGUUUAUUAUUUGAAUAUCAUGUUCAUAAAGUUUUCUAUGUGGGAGAUGUAACUUUUCAACUUUAUGUUCAAAGAUGCGUGGGAGAGGAAUCUAGGGGGAGGCGACAAUUGCUGAGAAGGGGAAAAAAAAAAGUCUUGAGGAAUCUAUUGUUUGUAGCUGUUGCAGAUCUGGUCCAGUCCCUCCUUGUAAGGCAGCACCAUAGGUGCUCACUAUUGGUUGCAGAAUGCUUGAUAAUAUUCCUCUAUCUCUUUAAUUGAGAAAUAAGAUGAAAUAAAACGUAGUAGUUAUGUGGGGCAAGAAUUUAGACGGUGUGAUUAGGUAAUACUUUAUACUUCUUUGAAUUAAUCUAAUUUAUAGUUAUAGAGAUUCAAAUUUGAGUGCUAGGAUACGAGUUUAUUUUCAUACCAACUGACCUAAUCCACAUCUUCUAAUUUUCCCUUUCCUAGACAAUCAAUAUUUGUUAUACGGAUCAAUAUUUGUUGUCAGUAUGAGAUACAAAAUAAUGGAAUGAAAGAAAUGGAUAUAAGAUGAAACAUUACAAUUAACUUUUGAUUUGGUAUGUUAAUGAAAAGGUCCUUGUUAGGGGCAAAGUCUAGUAUUGGGCCAAACCAAAUUGUUAGAGACAAAUUUUAUUCAAGCAUCUGGCCCAAAUGGGAGCCCUAAUGCAUUGAAGAAAUUGAGGUCAUUUUCGUCCAUCUAUCCUAAGCAUAAACCCCAAUUCCCAAACGAUCGCGGGGUUUUGGUAUUGUCACUGAGGAAGACCUGGAACUCACCGAUCCUCUCUUUCCGUUUGGUUCCCUAGAAACCCAAAAGAAAAUUCACUAUAUUUUCUUGUUGCCCCACUUCAUUUUCUCAGUAACCAAACAGAACAUUUGAUUGCAGACUCGCUUUGUAGAAAUGCAAUCUUUAAGUGCGAGCAUCCGUUUGGUCCAAAAGCAAAGAAUCGACAGCUCAAAAAUUGCUCAUUUCAGAUCAAUUGGAGCUUACCCAUUAACCAGUGGUUCUGGGUUCAGCUCGUUGGCUUCGGAUGGCUUGGCCUCUGCCAAGAUAUUUGAGAGUUCAUUGGGGUUUGCGUCUUCCAAAGGUUCCUUAUUUCAGUCUCUUUCCAAGUUCCCUUAUCGAUCUUCGGCCUCAUUCGUAUGUUUCGACUCGUUAUACUCUCUCUGAUAGUAUUUUAAACAUGCUCAUUAGUUCUUUACUUUAAAGAAUAUACUUUGAACAUGUUUGUAGCUGCGAAUUUUAGUUUGAAUAUGUUUAUACUUGUGAAAUUUACUUUGAAUGUGUAUGUAAUUGUGACUUUAGCCCUUUAGAAAAAAUAUAUUCUUUGUUUUCUGUUGAACAUUUUUAUAGCUGGCGACAUUUGGAUAGAGCAUUUUAUAUAAAUGAAUGGUUUGCUGUUGAUUCAGUUGAAAAAAGAAGUUGUUUUUUAAUGGUACUUGAUGCCUUGAAGCAAUUGAAGCUGAGAGGUCAUUCUGCAUUUUACUUUUCAUAAUUUGGAAUGUCAAUUGGCAGUGUUCACCAAGGUCUUAAGUCUUAACCUUCUUAUGUUAUAUAGUGUAGAAUUCAUCUGAAGAGCAAUUCUUUGUCUCUCUUUCCAAAUAUAGACACUUUUAUGACACUUGUAGCAUUAUUCUACCAGACUACAAGGGGCUUUCAAACUGAGACAUCAACAUCCUCGAGUAAGUCCAUGUUAUUCAAGAGUCCUCGACCAGGAUUACUUCCACUGGAGACAGUUUCACCUCCUUUCCCCAGCAGGUGCAUUACAACAGGGGUAAAUCCUGUUGAAUCGGCUACUCAAGAUUCAACGAUGUCUGGGUCUGACGUAGCUCCCCGCAUCAAAUUCAAGAGGCUUGAUAAAACUGCCAAGCACAUAAUGCAGGUAUGCAUCUAUCUGUUGGUAUUCAUGACAAGAAAUAGUGUAUGUUGUCUUCCUCUUAUUAUAUUUGUUGAUUUUGUAUUUCACAGAUUCUAGACAAGGAAGCUCUAGAGGAAGUGAGGGUGCAGAGAGAAAUACCGGAAAUAAAGCCUGGUUAUAUUGUGCAACUCAGAGUGGUAUGAUGUGUUCUCAUUUAGAAGAUGGUGUUAUAAUGUUCUUUGUGUUACGGAGGGAAUUUUAGGAUAUUAAGUCUAUAUAUUCUUUCUCAAUAAUUCUCCAUAUGUAAACAGGAAGUACCCGACAAUAAGCGACGUGUUUCAAUCUUGAAAGGCACUGUGAUAGCAAGACGCAAUGCUGGUCUGAACACUACAAUUAGAAUCAGGAGGCUCAUGUCUGGGGUUGGGGUUGAAUCUCUCCUUCCACUGUAAGAAGUUCUGUUCAUUUCUCAUAAUUAUAUAUGGCCGUAGUCUGUAUUAUCUUUGACUCGCUGCUUUAAGUUGGAAAGAAAACCAUCUUUAGCUGGAUGCCCAGGAAGCAGGGUGUAUUAAAUUGUUACCCUAAUAGGUUGUUAAUUCUCAACUCUAAUUAUGUGGGUAUUUUGUACAACAUUGUACGUACAGUUUUCACUAAAUUUGUUGAAAAUUAUUCUCUUUUACACUCUUUGUAGAUUUGGCUCUAAUAAAGAAUAGUUAUUUGUUGAUUGUGUAAUAAAAUGGUUAUUGAAAAUGUUGGAGUGUAGAAAGUUACAGAAUGAUAUGAUUAAAAUAAUGUAUCAGUUACUUAGGAUUAUUUUCCCACUGAUGAAUGUACUCUAAAGCCAAGAACUAAUCAUGUUCAGUAAUAGGUGCAAUUUUUCAAAACAGAUUCUUUGAGUUCUAUCUUCUGAGAAACAGCAAACACUGCUAAUCACAAGUUCUGGUGUUCAUGCCUGUGACAUUGAUAUGCGAAAACUUCAACUGAAAUUCUAGAUUUUAAGCUUUUUAUCACUUAAAUUACUAUUUUGAGGUGAAACAGAUGAUUACUUGGUAUGAAAACUGAUUUCCGAAUUUUUCUUUUUUUUGGGGUGGUGUCCUCAUAUCUGUGAGGUUUGCCGGUUCUUAUCAUUUGUUUCAUGUAAGCAUAUAAUGCUACUCUCUACACAUGACCAAAGAAGCGGAUAAUGUAUGGCAGGUAUUCCCCUAACAUAAAGGAGAUAAAGGUGCUGGACAAGAAGAGAGUGCGGAGGGCCAAGCUGUACUAUAUCCGGGACAAAAUGAAUGCACUUAAGAAGUAAUAGUAGUAAUAUAUAUGGCUGGCUAGUGAGAUAAAAAUUAUGGUUCCCUGACAAAGAUGGAGUCCAUGCAUGACUUAGUUCAGAAAUCUAGCAAAAUUUUGGUGAUUUCUUUUCCUGAAUGUUUGCUUUCUUUGAUCAUGUUAUUAGUUUGUGAGUCUUCAGCAAGUCUUUGAGAAUCUGAGAUGCCUGGUAGAUGUUAGGGUUCAACUGAAUACCGGGAAAUUUACUGGAAUUGCUACAUUACGAUGUUAAAAUUAUGCACUCAGGUUGAAGAAUGCUAUCAAGUGGCAUAAAUGUGAUUGUUACUCAAGUAUACUAUUUUCCUCAACACAAACCCUAUUAUUUCCUCGCACAUGUUUGGAUUAUAUGUUGUCCAGAAUUCUGGGUUUGCACACAAUAAGUCUGGCCAUGGAAGAUUAAAUGUGCCAGCAGUGUAAUAUUAUUUUACUUUGCAUAAUUGCAUUAUGUUUUAUAAUUAAUGAAUAAUAUUAUGGCAGACAGUGGUUGGUUUGGUUGUGGAUGUAAAACUAAAAUGCUUUCCAUAAUGGACAGCAGCAUCAAGCCACCAAGCACCAACCUUUCUGAAAUAGCAAAUACCAAUAAUCUUUUCUUUUUUUUGUUUCUCUUUUCUGUUUUCUUACAAUCUGGUUGAUGGUUCAAGUAAAAAUAUGUCAAGUUGUCAACUACUGCAGGAGUUCUCCUGGGGAGGUAUGCUAUAUUAAUAUAUUUAAUAACACUUUUAAGAGUUUAUUAUUCUAAUUCCUUCCUUGGUCAAACUGUGCAUGUUUUCUUUAUGUAUUUUCUUACAAUUAUGGAUAAGAAUAUAUACUGCUGUUGCAUGACACGUCUCUAAAACUUAGUGCCAAUUUCGUCGAGAAACACUUCUAUGAAAUUGGGAUAUUAUUAUUUUGCUAUUCAAAUUUUUAGAUAUCAUAGUAUUAUUAAUGAGGAAUAUUAAAAUAGUGCUAUUUCCGUUGCAAUUAAGUUUUUCUCCUAUUUAGUCAUGCCUGCCUGCGACAUCCCAGAACUAGUAAAAGCUUAUUUCAUGGUGAAAUUAGAAAGAAAAUAAAAUGUUGCUGGUUAAAAGAUUUUUCAUGAAAAUUAUUUUAUAAUCUAACAUGACUAGAAUUUUUAAUAAAUUAUAGUAUAUUAAUUGCCCACUUAAAUAUCGUGGAAUAAAAGUUCAACAACCCCAAAUAGUAAUCUAUCCAGAUGUAUCACAUCAUUAUGAAUGGUGGAUCCUUUUUGGUGUUGACUCACAACAAUAGACUGGAUUAAUAAUUACAUAUUUAGGUUCUUUAUUUGUAAACUAGCCCCUUGACACAUGCUCACGCAUGUGCUAAUUGGUUUUUUUAUUUUUUAUUUUUUUUUUAUUUUUAGAAUUAAUAAAAGAUAACAGGGUAGUUAUGUUCCAUAAAAGUAGGACCUAUUAUCUUAUUUUGUUUUUAAUUUUAAUUUUUUUAAUAUUAAAAAAUGUGAAUUUACCAUAUUAUCCUCAUUUAAUUAAUAAUUUCAAUUCUUAAUGUUUGAAUUAACAAAGGGCAUUUUCUAGUAUUUUGAAUGUUUCACCAUUCUCUGCCUUUUGCUUUAUAUAUAUAGAUUACAAAUAUUAUAUCUACAUAUAUGUAUAUAUGCAAAAAUAAAAAAAUAAAAAAAAUAAAAAAAUUUGUACAUAUUUCAACUUUGGAUUUGUGUGGCUGAUAGAAUGAUAUUUAUUUAUUUAUUUAUUGGUAUAAGGGGCGGGCUAACUUUCUUGAUCAACUUAUCUACAUGAACGAUAAAAAUAAUAAUUUUUUGAAUAUAUAUAUAUAUAUAUAAUUUCAUUUUAUUAAGGAAAUAGACAUAUUGUAUACGUCAUUUAAAAUUAAAAAUUGAAGGAAUAUAAAGUGCUUUGCUUAUAAAAGAGGUUUUAUAGUAAGCUUACAAAAUACUACAUAAAAGAAAAAAAGUACACAUAUUUUAUGUUAAUGAAACUAAAUAUUAACCCAAAAAAAAAUUCUAUCAGUAGAAUUUAGAAUUUAAUUAUUGGUAGGAAAAUUGUAGAAUCCGAUCAUAUUCUAAAGUUCUUCAGCCGUUGGAUCGUGAUUAGGAAGAAUCUACGUUGGAAGAUCCAAAGAUCCCUAAUAGCAAUUUAAGGUGCGAAAGUAAGCUGAAGAAACGCGCGUAGCACAUUACUCUCACAUGUCCCCAAAGCCGACCUUUUAAACCCAAAAUUCAGAAGAAGAAAAAAUAAUCAAAAUUAAAUAAAUAAAUUUAAAGCCGAGAGAGACGACGCUCGGUUGUUUGUUGGUUCAUUUGCUGUGUCUCUGCCAAUCCAACGGCUUCUCUCUCCUCCUUUCUCACUCCGCUAACGCACGCUUCUCUGUCUUCUUCUUCUUCUUCUUCUUCAUACGUGAAACCUCCGACUUGGGGUUCCUUUUUCGCGGGUUUGAAUUUGGGUCGCUUCAGUAUUUGAUUCAGCCCCUAACGACGAAAUUGAGGUUUCGGGUCGAUCCGAAUACGAUCAUUUUGCGUUUCUGAGUUCGAUUUGAUUGGAAGACGAACGAGUUCUCGAGAAUGCCACAGGAUUUGUCGUCGGACCAAGACACGGACGAUGCUGAUGCCGAGUUCGUGGAGGUUGAUCCCACUGGUCGAUACGGUCGGGUCAGUAGUCUUUACUUAAAUUACUCUCCUUUUUUCUUUUUCCAUUUAUUUCCUUCUUUUUAUUUGUUUGGUAUGGUGUUCAUUGAUUUGAUUUAGCUGCUUCACUUCUCAUUUGUUUGGAAAUUACUAAAUGCUCUCAAGUCUUAAGCUUUUGUUCAUCAAGUUGUCAUUUGGGUUGAUUUGUUGGUUCUGUGUAUCAGUAAUCAAUUCUCUUUGUUUUUGGUCAUUUGCAGUAUAAAGAGAUUCUAGGAAAAGGGGCUUUCAAGAAAGUGUAUCCUUUCCCUCUUCUUUUUUAUUUUUCAGUUGUUUUAGAUUUUUAGUUGGAUGCUAAAUGCUGUUUGAACCAUUGAUAGUUAAUAUUCUGUUGAGGUCCAAGUGUGUUGUAGAUCUUUUUUGUGUGUCCUUGAUCGAUAUAUGGAAACUUAGAUAUCGAGCAUUUGAUGAAUUGGAAGGAAUAGAAGUAGCUUGGAAUCAGGUUAAAGUGGCAGAUCUAUUACGCAACUCUGAAGAUUUAGAGCGGCUUUAUUCAGAAGUUCAUUUGCUUAAGACUUUAAAGCACAAGAACAUAAUUAAGUUUUACAAUUCGUGGGUCGAUGCCAAGCAUGAGAAUAUCAACUUUAUUACGGAGAUCUUCACUUCAGGAACAUUGCGGCAGUGAGUUUUCAGUGAUGUAUUGUCUGUAACAUUCAAUAUUUCUAAUUUAUUUAUGCUUUUGUUUAGUGUUUUAGUGUCGAUUAUAAUGUAGAUACCGGAGAAAGCAUAAGCAUGUUGAUUUGAGGGCGUUGAAGAAAUGGUCUAGGCAGAUUUUAGAAGGCCUUUGGUAUCUUCAUAAUCACGACCCCCCUGUUAUCCAUCGAGAUUUGAAGUGUGACAACAUUUUUGUCAAUGGGAACCAAGGUGAGGUGAAAAUUGGUGACUUAGGACUGGCUGCUAUUCUUCGCCAGGCUCGCUCAGCACAUAGUGUUAUCGGUGAGGAUUUAUAAAUAAAAUUGUCAUCUAUGUUUUCCUUCUGCAAUGGUGCUAGUGCAGAAUAUUUGAAUUCAGAGAUGACAAUGUAAUUGUUUCUGUCACUUUAGGUACUCCGGAGUUUAUGGCGCCAGAGCUUUAUGAAGAGGAAUACAAUGAGCUAGUAGACAUUUAUGCCUUUGGCAUGUGCUUGUUAGAAUUGGUGACCUUUGAGUAUCCAUAUGUUGAAUGUACCAAUGCUGCCCAAAUAUUCAAGAAAGUGACAUCAGUAAGGGCUUCAUGACCAUUGCCCCGUUUAAAUUGAUACACAGUUUCUAUUGUUCCGUUAAAUUUGUUGUUGGUUUGUUUUUGCUAUCAUAAUUGAGAGCAUUUCUCGUCCUUGAAACUUAUAUCAUUUUGAAAGUUUCAACAUGUGCAAUCACCGGAUCUGUCAAAGUCUCAAUUGUUGUAGAUAAUGUAAUUUUUCCAUAUGUGAUGCAUCAUUCAUCUCUUUUGAUUGUGAUGAAUGAUUCGUCUCUUUUGAUUUUGUGAUGCAUGGUUCAGUUGUUUUGCUAGUCUCACUAGACCUACUAUUUGGCUUAAAUUGUAAUGGAUUUUGAAGCGCUGGGAUUGAAAAUUCAUUCAGCAUUGUGAAUUUCUAUAUAUUUAAAAUGUUGGGGUAGUUUUAUACAUGUACGUUCAGUCUGCAAAUUUUUCUACACUAGUGUGUCAAAUUUCAGUUGUUGAAAAUGUAUGUAAUUUCCCAUUUGGCUUUUUGAUUUGAGUUAAUGCUUGAAAUUCUAGGGAUAAUUAUACAAACAACCCUGAAAGGUUGCAAUUAUAGGAAUUCGAACUCAACAUUGCUUAUUCUGGGACCAGCAUAAGUUUUGUUAGUUUGCCACUGUAAGUUGUUAGGAUUGUGGCCAACGCUUAUUUUAUAUUCUAACAUGGUCCUUGUAUCAUUUCCUUUUCCGUUUGGGUAGGGAAUAAAGCCAGCAUCAUUGGCAAAAGUGACAGAUCCUGGAGUUAAAGCAUUUAUAGAAAAGUGCAUUACGAAAGUCUCUGAUCGUUUGUCUGCCAAGGAACUUCUAAUGCAUCCUUUUCUCCAAUCUGAUCAAGAUCGUGAAUGUAGUUCUCUACGACCUGAAACUCAUUAUUCAGGUAAGCAAGUUGUUUCUCUAGAGCUCAAAGGCUUUUUGUCUUAUUCUCCUCACAUUGUGACAUGUUAGAUGCAGAAGGCAGUUCUGAUCAGAUUGAUAUUGGAACAAAGGAUAUGGACCCUUCUCCUGAGACAAAUAAAGACUUCACUGUGCAAGGCCAGAGGAAAGACGACACAAUAUUUCUGAAACUACGAAUAGCAGAUUCGACAGGUUACCUUUUCUUUCUUUUCCAGUUUAUUUAAUUUUCAGUCAAAGAAGUAUUGUUUAAUUCCACUUCCUGCUCUUAAAUUGAGAUAUUUUCCACCUGGCCCCAGGUCACUUUCGAAAUAUCCACUUCCCAUUUGACAUUGGGGCAGAUACUGCAAUUGCUGUUGCUAGUGAAAUGGUUCAAGAGUUGGACCUAACAGAUCAAGAUGUCACAACAAUUGCUGAAAUUAUUGACGCUGAAAUCCAAUCCCACAUUCCAGAUUGGACAUCCAGUGAAAUUUCGGGAGAUAAUAUUGAUGGUGAGGUCUCAACUCCAUAUAGCCCAGUUUCUGAGUCUAAGGAUGAUCCUUCUGCCUUGGUACAUGAGGCCAUCCUUUCUAGUAAUCUUGCAUUAGAAAGACUGCCUUCAGGUCGCAAGUACUGGUCUGACUCACCCAAGGAAGGUAGUGGAAAUUCUCCAGGGAAGCAUGGGUUUUCUAACUUGCAUUCUCCAGCAGAUUCGGUCAUUGCAGGAGGUACUGAAGACAAUGAAAAUUCUACUGGUAGCCAUAGAGAGGAAGACGACCCAAACGGCAGAGAUGCCUCUGAUUCACCAAAUGGUGGUACUGAGGAUGAUGAAAAAUCUCCUGGUAGCCUUAGAGAGGAAGAUGAUCCAACUUGUGCUGGUGCCUCUGAUUCACCAAAUGGUGGUGGUCAUGGUGCAGCUACUGAUCUACAUGUUAUUAAUGGAACUCAUCCAUUUGAAUCAGAAGAAGUCAAGAUCAUUGCGGAGAAACUUGAGAAUCUAUUGGUAGAACAGAAAAAGGAGUUAGACGAGCUCAAGAGGAAGCAUGAAUUAGCAAUAUCAGAUGUAUUGAAGGAACUACCCCCGGUUUUCUGUCAAAAGGUUUUAGAUAUAUGUAAGAUAAAAAUUCCGGACUACAAAAUGCUUUAUGAGGCAGACUGCUAAACCAAGCAAUUUGCAAAUUCAGCUUUUCUUGGCCCUGUCAUGUCUCCAAUUCCAGUGCUUGAUAUAUAGAUUAUUCACUAGUUUUGCGGGUGACAGAUAAUAGAAAUCACAGAGAUGUUUUAUACUUAGGUAAAGUUGGGGAGCAUGAACUAGUAGCUGUAUUUUAUGCAGCUGGAUGGAUAUUGAGAGAGAUUUGUAAUAUAGAUGCUGCAAGUCAUAGCCUGGAGGACAGUCAUGCUUGUCAUCUAGAUCAGCUUUUAGAGUGACCCCGGAGGCCCUGAGGAUCCGGUACAUGAACUCCCACGAAUGAUUUGUUUCUGCCUAGGUAAGACAUUGGUCUGGCGAGUUGAAAUGAUGCCUAAAGAUCAACGUGCUACCUACUUAUGCUGAAUACGGGGCAAAAUAUGGAGUUUAUACCUGUACAGAUAAUUCUUUUACUUUCUUGCUUCGGAGCACAUCAGUGUAUGUUGAGCAAAUGUGAAAAUUAAUUAUAAAUUCUUUUUUGUUGGUUUUACUUAUUUGUUCUCUUGAAAAGGGACGAUUAACUGGUGGUUAAGUUAUUGUUGUGGCAUGCUUGGGUUUAUUGUUGCAUUGGAUAAUAAUCACAACAUGACAUUGAUAAUUGAACCUAGUUUUACUGCGUUCCAAAUUGUUUUCACCAACCAAAUUUGAGGUACUUUGCUCAUGAAAACAUUUUUGUAUGGUAGAUGUUGACUCCACGGUGUUUCACAAAAAUUAAGGUAUUUGAAUCAAUUACGUGUCACAAAAUGAGUCUGGCUUUCUGGUUUGCCACCAUCAACACAAAUCACAAUCAGUCGAUUUCAUACUUUUGAGCCACAACCAACCAGCUUCAUGCUUAAGCUCUCGGAGAUCUAGAGCCUCAAAUGAGUUUAAGUGCUCCCAAUUGGGUUCUAUAACUCUCUGGACUAGACCGACUCUCACUAACAACCAAAAAUAGCUCUCCACUGAAUCCUGAAAACCAUUUGAAAUUUCAAUUCAAGCAUUACUUGAGCUACAAGUUCUUUAUAAUUAACAAAAGACUUAAAUUCUUUCCAUGAGUAAAACUCGAUAAGUGUCAGAAUCAAUAAGUGCUUUACUACUGGAGUCAGAAAUAGUUUUUUCGAAGUUCAGUAGACAUAAGUAGUAACGAUUUUGCACUCAUGGUUUAACUUUUGACACUUAAAUUCGAGUGUUUUUAUAACUUCUAUAUUCUAAAAAUGUGAUUUUUAUUUUAUUUUUUGUCAAAGUUAGGAAGGGGUAGAGAGAUUUUCUCAGAUCCACUACGAAAGUGUCAUGAGAAUUUGAAUUUAAGAUCACUAGUAUGCAAGUUAGGGCCUCUUCCAUUGGACUCAUUGACUAUGUGAUUAUGUGAGCGUAAAUGACUGCUAAAAUGGCUAAACUAAGUACAUGGAUAAGUUGUAACAUGUUAAUUGGGCCAAGAAUAGGUUGGUAAAACCCACAACCCUUUUGGUCCUAGAGGAAGGAGGGCUAUACACGUGUGAGAAUAUAACGCAGGUUGCACAUAAACUCUCAAAUUUCCACCUGUAACCGACGAAAAUAAUCCCUCCAAAACUGAGGCUGGGAAAUGGAUAGACCACCCAUAUGAGGCCCUGUUUUGUCUUCGAAAGGAUAACAUACAUCACUCCCCCUCUCACCACUCCCCCUCGUCAGUCCUCUCCUCCUCCUUCAUUAUCCCAAAACCCCAACACCCAAUCCCCAUCUCUAUCUUCUCCCUCUCCUUCUCUCUCUCUCUAAAGAUUCAAUCUUGAAUCUUCCAUGGCAAUUUCAACAGCAGCAGCAGCCUCAGCUUCCUCAAAGCUCACUUACCCAUAUGCCUCUCAGUCCUCUCAGCCCUCACCGGCCUCCUCUAUCUCCAUUAGACCCUCUUCCAAGCUAACCCAUCUCUCCUCUUCCUUCCUCAACCCCUCCACCAUCCUCCACCUCACGCCCACCACUACUCUCCCCCUCCACCACCACCACCACCGCAGUUUCACAGUCAAAGCUGCUCGAGGUAAGUUCGAGCGCAAGAAGCCCCAUGUCAACAUCGGCACAAUCGGCCACGUCGACCACGGCAAGACCACUCUCACUGCAGCUCUCACCAUGGCCUUGGCCUCCAUUGGAGGCAGCGCUUCCAAGAAGUACGACGAAAUCGACGCCGCCCCAGAAGAGCGCGCUCGUGGAAUCACCAUUAACACUGCCACAGUCGAGUACGAGACUGAGAAUCGGCACUACGCCCACGUUGACUGCCCCGGCCACGCCGAUUAUGUCAAGAACAUGAUCACUGGAGCUGCUCAGAUGGACGGUGCGAUUCUUGUGGUUUCUGGUGCUGAUGGGCCAAUGCCACAAACCAAAGAACACAUCUUGCUGGCCAAGCAAGUGGGUGUGCCUAACAUGGUUGUGUUCUUGAACAAACAAGACCAGGUUGAUGAUGAGGAGCUUCUGCAGCUUGUGGAAUUGGAGGUGCGUGAGUUACUUUCUUCUUAUGAGUUUCCUGGUGAUGAAGUUCCUAUUAUUUCUGGGUCUGCUUUGUUAGCUUUGGAGGCUUUGAUGGCCAAGCCUACUAUCACUCGUGGUGAGAAUGAAUGGGUUGACAAGAUUUAUGAACUUAUGGAUUCUGUUGAUAGCUAUAUUCCGAUUCCUCAGCGCCAGACUGAGUUGCCAUUUUUGUUAGCAAUUGAAGAUGUGUUUUCGAUUACCGGUCGUGGGACUGUGGCCACUGGCCGUGUUGAGAGGGGUACUAUUAAGGUUGGAGAUACAGUGGACAUUGUCGGUUUGAAGGACACAAGGAGCACCACUGUGACUGGUGUUGAAAUGUUUCAGAAGAUUCUUGAUGAUGCUAUGGCUGGUGACAAUGUGGGGUUGUUGCUUAGAGGGAUACAAAAGAUUGAUAUUCAGAGAGGGAUGGUUUUGGCUAAGCCCGGGACGAUUACCCCACAUACCAAGUUUGAAGCAAUUGUGUAUGUGUUGAAGAAGGAAGAGGGUGGCAGGCAUUCACCGUUUUUCUCAGGUUAUAGGCCACAGUUUUACAUGAGGACUACUGAUGUCACUGGAAAGGUGACUUCCAUAAUGAAUGAUAAGGAUGAAGAGUCCAAGAUGGUCAUGCCUGGCGACCGUGUCAAGAUUGUUGUCGAGCUGAUAGUUCCCGUGGCUUGUGAGCAAGGAAUGAGGUUUGCUAUCAGAGAAGGAGGGAAGACUGUUGGAGCUGGUGUUAUUCAAUCCAUAAUUGAGUGAUAGAAAGAAAGGCUUUCUUGGCAGUAAAUGCUCUUCACUCUUUUUUUUUGGUGGUGUCAAACUUGAACUCAUUUUGAUUUUAUUUAGUUUUGACAUUUUAAGCAAUUUCCACAGUCAAAUGUUAUAUAUUUUGUAGGUUCAUCACCAUGUGCUCCGCUCAUGUUUCUAGCCUAGUUGAAUGAUAUGCUUGUGAUGAUUCAAUGUGACUUUGGUUGAACCUAUUAUCAGAAACUUUUUCACGGGCAUAAAAAUGAGAUCGGGCACUGCCUGUCGAGGUGAAUUCUCCUUAAUGCUUCAUAUGAUUUGUUCAAAUUGAACCUGUGGAAUUUGCUUCUUUGCCAUGUUUUUGCCACUCGUUUCCUAGCUCUAGCUCUAAUUCUUGAAUUUGGUGAACUUGAGUGUUAUUAUUCAGCACGGAUACAAUUCUCUGGACGUGCUUUUUGUUUACACAAGGCAUUUCUUGUGUAAUCAAGAUAUUGAAACUUGCAUGUGACCCCUUUUUUUCUUUUUCUUUUUUUCUUUUUAAUGUGAGAGCUUUUUUAAUUUUUAAUAUUUGAUUCGGCAAACGGGAGCUAUUAUUGCGUGAAGAACAAUAAAUAAAAUAAAUUACAACUCCCAGUUUGGUAGCAAAAAAUGAAAAAGGAUUUGCACUCCAUAUUUGAUCCCAAUUCGGUCUGGUUAAUACUCCAACAAUCAGUGCAUCAACUGAUUUGGGCAUUUCCAACCCAAAUAUACCAACGCGAUAUAGCUAAUUAAUGUUGAAUAUUAAUACUACACCCUAAAUGAAGAACUUAUUCAGAUUCAUAUAAUAGUACGUUAAUUGAUUAUACCACGUGACGGUAUUCUCGUACCACACAAUUUGUGAAUAACUUUGGAAAGUAUGUUCACGACAUUGCCUGAAAAGUAGUCAACAAAAUUUCGGUAGUCAUGUAUAGAUAAAUAGAUAUUUUAUCCGCUAAGCCUUACUCAUUAUGGAAAGUCAGCCUUUGAAACAGGCUGUUGAUAUAAAUAGACAUAAGGAUAGAUUGUACACAAUGUAUACAUAUUUCCUCAAUUGUCCCCAUCCAAAGACAACUACUCUAUCUUACCUAAUAUAGAAACUAUAUGACUUCCUAAAACCAUUCCCACUGUGUAUACUGCAUGAUCUUGGUGACUAAGAUAAGAUCAGUCUUCCACUUUUUCCAGAAAAUUUUGUGCUCUGAAGAAUUCAUAGAUCCAAGAAUACGGUUGAUGUAAUCAACUGUUGCACGAAAGCCGCUCUCUGCCUUCGCUCUUCUUUAUCCUUUUCACAGCCUUCAUCUGGUGAAGAGGACUUAGCACUGCAAAAACAAAAUGUAUCAGCAACAGGGCAUCAACAGGCCUAUUCUCAUAAAGCAUGUAUUUUUUGCAUAACCCUCACCAAGAUAUAUUAUUUGACAUAUCACAUAUCUAAAGACCAGUCACUGCCAACAAAGCAAAAAUGGAGGGCAAUGCAAGAGUAAUAAAGGGAAUGAAUAACACAUAGAUGGUUCAUUCACAUUCCUGGUUUACCCGAUGGAGCACCAAUAACAAGUAACUUGACCCACUCAAUGGCAAACAUGGAGGUAAAACUAAGUGAAAAACUCUGAAGCUUAAAUGAAACAAUCUAGUACUCCAUCUUGUUGAAACAGGUGGGCGGUUCGAUCUAUUGGAUAACAACACUGAUUUUGCACGUCAUAUCAGUGAAAAGAUAAAACUAUGCAGAUAUUGGCAGGGUUUCCUGUUUCCUAUUUAUCUUCAUCUAUCCCGCUGAAAACUGCUUAACUGGCGUGAUGGCAAUUAAUUGUCCUUAACUUGUAGGGAAAAAGGAAGUUGGUUGGAAAAGAAGAUAGCAUCACAUUUCCAAAGCACAAAGUACAGAGCCCAGAUGACAUAAAAAGCAUUAUCCCAUAAUUCUCAGAUGAUUAGGCAACUUUUCAAAUAUAUGCAGUUAAGGCAUCAACCAAACACCUAGAAUGAUAACAAACUCACAAGUAAAAGUUCCAAUACGAACAAACAAAGCGAAGCUAUAUAGUAUUCAUUGGUUUUAGAAUCAGUGAAAGCAAAAGAUUAUAUAAGUGGUUACGACACAAACACAGACAACAAGAGAAAAGAUGAUGCAACUAUCAUUUGGAUAACUUAGGCCUAAAGAAAUAAAUAGUUCAAGGGAUUCCCAAAAUCAAGAUAUCUUCAAGAAUUUGAAACUUUCAAUGAAGAGCAGAUUUAGAUGCAAUGUAAGGCUUGCUUAAAUACCAAACAUCGUAGGGUUAGGAAAAAAAAAAUUUGUUUCUUUGGUAAGCAUAUGAACAACAAAUCUUUCAACAAUUAUUUUCUGCCUUAUAAAAUCAUGAAAUUCCUGGGUUUUCGCAAGACCCAUUUGCAUUUACAUCUCUGGUCCAUAAUACAUUGAUGCAUGUUAAACUAAGAUCUCUUAAGUUUACAAUCCCUGUCUUUAUCUCCCACUCACGAGUCACGACCACUAAUAUCUUAAAGUUGUACUUUCAUAAAAGAACAAGAGUAUACCUUUUCAAGCUGGAAGUGAUAGGGGCAUUGAUAUUGGAACAAAUAUCUUCCGGAAUACCAAUAGGGUCUGAAAAAGAUAUAUUGCAGAUAAAUGGUGAGAGGAGAGGAUCAGGUGCAGAUUCAUGUGCAGAUGCCCUUCCGUUCUUCAGCAGUGCCUUUCCAAGCAUUGCUGAACUACCAGUCCACAAACCCGCUUUUUGAGAUUUUCUCCUGUGCUGAAAAGCAUAGAUGACUCCUUUAAGGUUCCAACAUGAUCAACAAACUUUUCGACCAAAUUAACUAUAUUGUAAAUCUAUGAUCCCAUAUAGGCAAUAAUACCUUGAACGAGCUUGCAUGGUGCACCAUAAAAUGUCCAACUACAUCUUUCCCUAGAUUCGCUGCACACAUAGGACAAACCUGGAAUAACGGGAUUAGAGCAGCCAUCAGGUUCAAAUUCUAACUGAAACAUCAUAAACUGGUGGCAAUAAUUUAUAUUUUCCAAUUGCAUCUUCCCUUAUUUAUAAUAUUAUAAAUUUUGGAAGGCCUUCCCAUUUACCAUACCCUAAAUGAUUCAAUGCACUUUACUAAGUAAAUCUAUCAAUUUCAAGCAGCAUCCUUUUUGUAAUCAAAAUGGGAACCAUCUUGAUUGGAUGGUUCAUUAUUGACUCAAGAAUAUGAUAUUGAUAAUGCUAAUCUCAUUUAAAUCGCACACAACAAAAUAUCUGGUAAAGAAAAGCACGCACUGCAUUUUUAAAGUCAAAGCAGUGUUCUUCCUCCAAGUGGUUGCAGAGCAUUGGGACUUCAAUAUCCACAUAACAGAAAGGGCAUGGAAAACAAGAUUUUGCAUCGUCAUCUCCUUCAGAAUCUUCCGAAGCCAUAUGAUUAUCUGUUUUAACAUAUAUAGAAAAUAAAAGAUCAAUACAUAGAUAUAUGACAUGGAUGGACAUAUAUGUACACGCAUUCAUAGAGACAUGUCGAUUAAUAUAUCCAAAUCACAGGAUCAAACAAUGCAAAUAUGGGCGCAUGCACACACACAGAGACACGUAAAUAUAUAUAUCAGAGUGAGCCACCCCAGGCUAUCUCCAACACGCAGAUCUUACUCUGGCUACAAGAAACUACUAAAAUGAACUCUUUGCAGUGUUUAGUGACUAAAUAUGGACCAACACCACUUGACUUUUGCCCAAGAAGACAAUAGGCAGAGCCUAAACAAAUAUACAUUCAUCUUCUUAUCUAUGAACUGCAUAAGCUGCAAAGGAAUUAACCAGGCUCAGCAACCAUCUGAAGAUGGAUUUGUAAUUUUUCUCCAUAUGUUUUUCUAUCAAACCUUAAUUUUCUCACCUUCAUUCCAACUAAUUCUGUAAGCUGGUUCCUCCUCGUCAUCAUCAUCAUCUUCACCUUCAUGAAUGACAACACUAGAAGCAUCACGCUCCCACUUACUCUCAAGCGUGAAGGAAUCAGUACCUAAUGACUCAGAUAAAAUGCCUUCUGUUUCCUUCAAUAUCUGCUCUCUCAGGUUCUCCAGAUAAUCCAGAUAAUCCUCAUAUUCUGAAAUUUUUACAUUUAAACUACUGAGCUGAUCCGACUCUUGAUCCACCAACUCUUCAUAAUUUUCAUCCUCUGUAUCUUCUUCAUCUUCAGUAUAAUUUGUCAUGCGGAUAGAUUCUCUUAAUCUCUUUUUUGGGCGUUGAUUAGCCUCAAAUAUAAUUAUAACUUACCCACCUUAUUAAUCAAAGGAGUUUCUUCUUUCUAUGGUCUCCUGGCAACCCUAAUUCUAAGAAAAUUAGGGCCCGAAUUAUCACUAGAAUCUUCCUCCAUGGCCCUGCUUCUUAUAGGAAAUCUUUACUGUAAUAUUACACGCAUGGAAGGCUUUUAUAAACGUAUCUAGCAACUUUCUAAAAUUACCUAAUCUAGCAUGAAGGAUAUGAUGAAAUCCCAAAAUUUUCGGACUUUUAUUUAUUAAUUAAAAGAUGAUAUUUUCCGAUAAUGCCCACAACAAAGUUACCCAUAAAUUUCAAGGAGAACGCUCCCCAUUUGAAAAUUCAAGCAAAGUCGUACUCUUCACAAUGUGCGUGUUGCUUUGACAAGAAACUAAAAGAAAACUAAAGAAUCGAAAGCCAAUUUCUUUCUUAAAUCCAACCAAGUUUUCAGCUUUAAGCCCAACCCAGUUCUUGAUAACUCUCACUCACAAAAGCCAUUGCUUUACUUAAACAUCAACGAAACGAAACUGAAAUCAGCUAGUAAAAUACCCUUACUUCAAUUCCCAAAACUCUACCCAGACAAUGAGAGAAUUUGACAAACUAAAAAAGGAAACAAUUUUUUUUAAAAUAGAAAUGUUGAAGCACACAUGAGAGGUAAAAAUUAAAAAAUAAAGAAAAUCUAAGUACCAUAGUGAAGCCGAGCAGCAUGGGCAGCAGAGAGGCUCUUGGCUGCUUGAACCCUGGAAGCCCACGAGUCAACGUCCAUGGAAUCAACUCUCCGGCGACCCAAGUCAGCUUUUUCCGGCGAGAAGUGUUAGAAACCGUCCGUACGGGAAAUAGGUUUGGAUCAAAGGCUUAAAGUUUCUACCUUUCAGAUUGAGGAGGGGUGUGGUGAUGUUUUGCUUACUCACUCAUAUAUUGCUCUGAUACUGAAAGCUUUCCUGACACACAAAAGAUGUUUGAUGCAUAGCUGACACGUGGAAUUUUUCCAUUUAAUUACAUCAUUGCUUCUUUUCUUUUCUUUUUUUCAAUUAAAUAAUUGUACAUGUUAAUUUCAGAACUACUUGUCAAUUGUCAUCUUUUGCCAAAGUACAGAGAACACAUGAUUUUAUUCUAUUUUCAGUGUUAUUUAUAUAAAAUUGUAUAUUUGUUUUCCAUGGAGCAUUGACAUGUAUUUGCAGCAUGAAUAUAAAUAAUUAAUGACAUUUUUUAAUGACCACAAAAGAAAAGAGAAGAGAAAAGGAAUAAAAAAGAACUUGGUUUAUAUGACUCGUGUGAAAUACCUUUCUUCACAUCACAUGGAAGCUUUUGGCUGUCUUGAAAGAAGCUAAAGAUGUUGAUGUCAAACUUCUUUGGCUACUUUAUCUGACUGUGAAUGACGUGCGGAAAUUUGGUCAGAUUUGAGUUUUGAUUUGUUUUUUAAAGGAAGAAAAGAUUAAAGAAGGAAAGAAACAAAUAUGUUGACUGUUAGCAAAUCCAAUGUAAGAUAUUAGCUUCAAAUGUGCCUCUUAUUUUAGACACUAAUUAUGCCACCUGUAAUUUAGAAAUGUUCAUAAAAAGAACUUUCAUUAAAAUAACAACUUUACUUUGUUUGUAAGCAUUUCGCUUUUACAUUGGGAGCCUUUUAAUCACGCUUCUCACUCAAAUUACAAACACGUGUUGUUCUUGAAAAUAACACUUCGCACUAUUUUUUACUAUACUCAAAUUUGUUGGGGGUUUUCAAACUCGUGGGCUGACUAGAAAUAGAAACUAAUGACAUGAUUAAAUUUAAUGACAAAGAUUUAGGCAAAAGCUAGGAAAACAAAAUGGAGUGACAAGAAAGAAUCAGUUUCCAGAGCAGACAACCUAUCCAGGAAGGAGAUAGGCAGGGCAUGCGAUAACAAGUUGGACAAAAAGUUGCUUUAGUGUGGGAGGAUGGUGGAGUGGUGCAUGGACUUGGACCAGGACGGUGCAUUACACCUAAAAAAAGGGCCAAACAACAAAGCUGAAAAGAUUGUGGUGGGGCAUUUUCUUAUAAAGACAGCUCAAUAUCAUAUAUAUAUUUUUACUUGUUCCCUAAGUUCUAAAAGAUUGAAACCCAUCAAAGGGGUUUUUUUGUUUUUUAAAAUAAUUAUUAUUAUUAAAGACUAGUGUCUACUUAGUUUAGUGAUAAAUAGGGGGCUGUUUUGCUUGCUUUGCAGCAAAGGAACUUCCCAAAAGCCAAAAAGAGAGGAGAGAAGGAACUAAUGGCAUCAGAAUAUGAGUGGAGAUCCCAUUUGGGUUUUCUGGGUUAUUUGGGAUGAGCCCUUACCUUUACAACAAGUCCAAGAGAAUAUUUGGGUUUGGGCUGAAACACUGGGAAAUUAUGAAGAGGUCUAAUCUUAGACUGGGCUACAGGUAUUCAUGGUAUGGGCUAUCAGUAGCUUGACAGAAAAAGAAACUAAAGGAAAUCUUUCGAGUCAAAAUCAAUGGAGAUCUAUGAGUAAAAACUUUGGACAGUUUUUGGCAGAUACUAUUGUUUUAAGAUGGAAUUCAGGGACAACUGGACAAUCAUGAGGAAGAAGUCAUAGCCUUUUGGCAAUUGUGUCUGUUAAUUUGUUAACACUAAGCUUUCAUAAAGAGAUUUUGUUUUGUUUUUUACACUGUCACCAAUAAAGAUAUUAUGUUAAUUUUCCUUUGCUCUGCCUCCAUGUUCAUACUUUAACACAGAGAGAGAGAGAGAGAGAGAGAGAGAGAGAGAGAGAGAGAGAGAGUGUGUGUGUGUGUGUGGGGCUGAGAAGGCUAAGCUAAAGUCAUUAUAACUAUUUAACUUUUAUGAGUUUAGAGCCCCAUAUGGUACUUGGUAUCCAGGUAAGGCUUGAAACUAAGGGUGCAGCCAAAGUGAAAGUUUGCCCCAUAUUUAACAUUGGUGGGGAAAUAGGAAGGCCACACAUUUCAUGAUAUCAUUUACCAUCAUUCUGUUGAUUUUUUUUAUUAAAACAAAAAAACAAAAAAACAAAAAAGUUGAGAAAGAUGAAUGAUUAUGGUACUCAAGAAAGCUUUAUCAUGUUUUUAACAGAUGAGAUCUCAUAGCUGGAAAUUAUAUCUGCCCAGGGACCAGUAACAUAAAACAAACUCAUAGUCAACCUAUGCUUUUCAUGAUUAUUUAAGAAUUUGAAAGAAAAUAAAAAUGUACUCAUUAUUGGGAUAUGCCAGCCACUGCUGCUAAACAGUCUUUGAGUUGUGCUCAAUUUGUGUGUUGGGUGUAAAAGGAAAAAGAUUUAACAGUUGGUCAAAUUUUCAUAGAAAAAAGAGAGAGCCAGCAGCACCAACCAUUGUGGUAAAUCAGCACAUAUAUGCUGCAUAACAGCAGACAAAUUGCCCCAAAUUGGAUGAAAAAAAUUCAAGAUGGCAAAGCUUACAUAUGCAUCUACAGUGUCACCCAAAUUAGAGUAGCAGUGACAAAAAUGACAAAACCACAGCUCAGUUGCCCUUUCCUUUAAGCAGGCUUUGUAAUAAUUUGAAUGAUAUCUCCUGAACCACUAGCUCAACAGAAUGAUGAUAAAACCAUUAAGAAGAACAAGAAGGAGAACUAUAAGGCAUGUUUAUUUGUCUAACAAAAAAAAAAUCCAACUUGUUGAUUUUAAAGUCUAUCUAAUUAAUAAGUCAGAAUUGCAGAAUGCAUAAGCCCAUUCAGAACCUGACAGUUUCAUACUCAAUGGCUUCUGGACUUCAGGGACUUUGUAUUUUUACCAAGAAUUAUGAACAUCAGAAGUAAAUAAUAAUAACAACAAAUCCAAAUCCGAUCUGCAUACUACGAAAACAUAUAUAUAUUGGAUGUUUUAGUACACAUAUUACAAUAUCACCCAUCUCAAUAGGAAAGGUCUUCAAAAAAAAAAAAAAAAGUCUUACAAGGAACAAGGUAAUAUGAGAACAUGCAGGACAGCAACAUGGUAUUUGCUGCACAUACUCAAAAACCAAAAAGAUAUAUAAGAAGAACUAAAACUGAAAGGAACCCAGAAAAAAGAAGGUGAUCGGACCAGGAGAGCUUCAUUCCCCCGUGAAUAUGGAUCGAUGCUAUCGACACCUACAUCACUAUGCUUGGCCUUGGAGGAGGAGGAGGAGGAGGAGGAGGAGAGACCUCAAACUUCUUUAAAUGGCAGCUCCAAGAACAAACACUCAUCUCUUGAAGUUGAGAGAGAAGCUUAAAUUGCUUCCAAUAUUGAACUUCCAAAACCAAAACGUUCAUGCUUAAUGUGACAAAUUCAAAAGCAGCCACCAUGGUUAUCAUGGGAGGGAGAAGGAAAGAGCCAGAGAAGUAGCUAGCUAGGGCAUGUUAUGAGGAACUCACAGAACAUAUAAACAUGGACAUAUAUAUAUAUAUAGAUAGAUAGAUAUAGAAGUGGCUAGGAAAUUGGCUUUAUUUGCAGAGACAGACAGGUGAAAUAUUGUGAUGCACGCAUACUGUGGAGACCUAAUCUUAUAUUCCCGCAUGCACGUUUUUUCUCUUUAAUGAACAGUCUCAGGGCACGUUUCCACAGGAAAAGGAAAGCCAAGAAACAAAAGAUAUAGGACAGUGGAGGAGUUUUUUGUUUUGGAGGUGGGAUUCAUUUGAAGGGUAACAAAUUUUUCAAGGCAAAGCAAACUAGCAAAGCAUACAUGGUGCCCCAAAGGUGGGGCUAGCCUAGCUCCUUGUAAAGCCAACCCCUUCAUCACAAAGGAUCUUUAUCUAUGUUGGUCUUUGAAUUUUUUGCUCUUCUCUCUUCUCUUUUGGUCAGUUCAUGUCAAAAAAGGAUUAUAAUUUUCUUUUUGUGUUGCUUUUGAUGUGUUCGGUGGUUUGAUUUGGGGUCACUCUGUUAUUUUCAGAAUCUUAUGAGAUCAAAUUAUAAUCUUCAGACAUGUGUUUUAGCUGGGUCAAGACUCAAAAUUGUACUUAUGUCUUGUGGUUGACCAUCUAAAUUUCAUUAUGACACAGUUAGACCAUGAUUUGCUUUAGGAAAGAUAAAAAUAUGUAUCAUAAUUUAUUCCUACCUAAGCUCAUGCUCAUGAUAUGCCAAAAUAUGUACUAGUCUAUGAAUUAGUUUGUCCGCUAAUACUACUAUGUAUCUAAGUCAUUCAGAUUUUACGUCAUUCGUCUUUAUUGAAUUUUUAACUUUGAUUCGUUUAGCGUAUGUUAUAACCAUAAUACUUUUUGAAAAUACAAUAUUUUCCUUGUUAACUUAUUGUAUUUAGUGGGGGUUUCCAUUUGUCUUGACAACUGAUUGACACUCUCCACCUAAAGGGCUCAAGAUAAGAUUGCAACGAAUGUCUCUAUCAAAUGGCUAAUGUCUUUCAAUCUCGCAACGGCCAUUUUUCUGUAAGCUUCCCGAUUGAAAAAGGAAUAAAGGACCACCGUUGUUAUGUUGCGUAAGGUCUUUACCCAAACCUUUCCACAGCCCACAGCACACCUGGCCCCACCUGCCUCCUCUCCCAUAACCAACUGCCACGUGUAUUUAGACUUGCAGGGAGCCUCGCACGCCCGUUGAGAGAAAAAAAAGGGCGGGUUCCGGGUUUCACUUUAAUAACCGAACCCAACUUCGCGUGAAAGAUACUAAAGGUGGGUGGGGCCGAUAAGAAACCUCCCUACAGCAGUGGUGGGCCCCUCCUUGUGAAAGUCUUACAAACACAUGGGCCCCCAUUUGGUUUCGACAAGCCCAUGGGCUCCAAUUUGGACGCAACUCAAUUCGGGUUGACCCGAAAAGGCUUAAACCCUGGAAAUCCCCUAAUUGAUAUCAUUGGCUUCUUCUGUGGUGUAGUCUCAGUGAAAAAGUAUAGCAGCCAUGAAUCGAGCAAAGGCAGCGUUGCUCAAAACCCUUGGCUUCGCCAACGCGCUCGUGUUGACCAGGUCCUACGUCACAACUCGGCCGAUUUGUUCUCAGGUGACUCAAUUCCCUCACCUCUCUCACUUUCAUUCUGAUCAAUCAUGCGGUUUUCAUUUCCUCAAUACCCAUCAAAGCCUGUUCUUUUCCUCGGCCCCCAACUCGGUUUUGCAACUGGUUUUGGCCAACCAGUGGUCCGCUGAGUUGGAGAACGAGUUAUCUGAGUCCUACCCAUCACUGACCCACGAUGCAGUUAUCUAUGUUUUGAAGAAACUGGAUAAAGACCCAAAAAAGGCUUGGGAUUUUUUCAACUGGGUCUGUGAGAAAAAUGGUUUUAAGCCAAGCUCUUUGGUGUUUAACUUGAUGCUUGGGGUUUUAGGGCACAAGGAUUCAAUGAAACAGUUUUGGAUCACUCUGAGGCAAAUGAAAGAGCAAGGCUUUUACAUUGAAGUGCAAACGUAUUCGGCAAUCGCUGAACGGCUUAAAAAGGGGAAGAUGGAUAAUGAUGUUGUGGCUUUCAAGCAUUUUUUUGAAAGGAUGAUGAAAGAUAAUGCGACGGAUGAGGUUGCGAAGAAGGUGGCCGAUGUUGUUUCAGGGUCAGAGUGGAGUGCUGGGAUUGAGAAAGAGUUGGGGGAGCUUAAAAUUACGUUAUCUGAUAAUUUUGUCGUAAGGGUAUUGAAGGAACUUAGAAUUUGCCCAUCGAAAGCUUUGAGCUUUUUCCAUUGGGUCGGUCAAAGUUCCGGUUAUGAACACAAUACUAUCACAUAUAAUGCAGUUGCAAGGAUUCUUGCACAGGCUGACUCAAUUGGGGAGUUUUGGAGUGUGAUUGAGGAAAUGAAGGGUGCAGGUCAUGAACUAGAUUUGGACACUUAUAUAAAGAUUACGAGGCAGUUUCAGAAGAGCAAGAUGAUGGAGGAUGCGGUGAAGCUAUAUGAGCUCAUGAUGGAUGGCCCGUAUAAGCCUUCUGCUCAGGAUUGCAGCAUGCUUUUACGGAGCAUCUCAGCAAAUGAUAAACCAGAUUUGGAUAUGGUGUUUAGAGUUGCAAAGAAAUUCGAGUCUGCAGGGAAUACACUCUCUAAGGCUGUUUAUGAUGGAAUUCAUAGGUCUUUGACAAGUGCGGGCAGUUUUGAUGAAGCAGAGAAAAUUACGAAGGUUAUGAGAAAUGCAGGGUAUGAGCCAGACAACAUUACAUACAGUCAGUUGGUCUUUGGACUUUGUAAGGCCAAGAGACUUGAAGAAGCCUGCAAAGUGCUGGAUGAGAUGGAAGCAAAUGGGUGUGUUCCUGAUAUCAUGACUUGGACCAUUUUGAUUCAAGGACACUGUGCUGCUAAUGAAGUUGACACGGCGCUGGUUUGUUUUGCAAAGAUGAUCGAAAAAGGCUGUGAUGCUGAUGCUGAUCUACUGGAUGUCUUGAUAAACGGAUUCCUUAAGCAGAGGAAGAUAGAGGGUGCAUACAAAUUGCUUAUUGAAAUGGUGAAUAUGACUCGUUUAAGACCUUGGCAAGCCACAUACAAAAAUCUUAUCGAAAACCUGUUAGGAGUUAGAAAACUCGACGAAGCAUUCGCACUUCUUCAUUUAAUGAAGAAACAGAGCUACCCACCUUAUCCAGAUCCUUUUGUCCAAUAUUUAUCAAAAUUUGGUUCAGUGGAGGAUGCUGCAGAAUUUUUCAAGGCAUUGUCUGUGAAGGAAUAUCCCUCGUCUGCCGCUUAUGUCCAUGUUUUCAAAUCAUUCUUUAAAGAAGGUAGAGACUCUGAGGCCAAAGAACUGCUUUAUAAAUGCCCUUAUCAUAUUCGAAAACUUGGUGAAAUUUCCAAACUUUUUGGUUCUACAGAAGGCAAGCAGACUGCUGCUUGACAUGUAUUUGUUGUAGUAAAGUUCAUGGUCAACUACAUGAACUGUAACGUCUGCACAUUUUUCAACACAAUAGGAAAUUAGCCUCUCUUUCUUAUUUUCUUCAAUGUUAGUCCAUUUUAAAGUUAUUCCUGUCAAUUGAUGCAUACAGCCUACCAUUUAUGAGAUCUCAGGAAGGGCGUGAUGCUUCAAAAGAAUAUAGCCAGUUUGAUGUUUUUGUAUAGCUUUCUUUUUUCAUUUUUCUUUUUUCCUUUUUCGGGUACAGAUUAUAUGAUAAUUUUAACGAUAAUCUUCAUCACAAAGGAAAGGAAGCUGCUAAUGCUUGAAAAUGAAUUAGAUUAUAAGUCACAGUUUGCAGUAGGCAUAAAAAUACAUUGUUCACAAGAUGUGAAAAUUAGUCGAUUCAGUCAGGUAGCUCAGAACGCUCCCUCCUAGCUGUAUCUAUCAUUGUACUCAAGAAUUUGCUUGGGUCGCAACCAUAAGGACUUGCAAGAGCCGCAUGCCCUAGGAAUGGAAGCUUUCUUAAAGAUCGUCCACUCAAUCCCUAACCAAAGUAAAGAAGCAAAAUCAACAAUCAAAUAGCUUUAUAAAAUAGAAAAAAAAAGGGACUAAUUUAGAAGGCAUUGAAGAAUCAGUUCCUCACCUCACAUGCUUCUGCUGUUUCAAGCAAUUGUUUACACAUGUGUAGUGUUCGGGCAUCUUGAACCUCAGGCAUAUUCAAUUUCUCUUUCAAGCUACCGUAGUUAGGAAGCAUGAGGCUUUCACAAUCCUAAAAUUCACAAUGUUCAUUAGACAUGGCUUCAAUUUGAAACUUCCCCACAUUAGCACUUAAUGGAGAAGGUAAUAUAUUAAAGCUUUAACAAAUAUGGUAUCUGAAGAAGGUAAGACAUGGACCUCAAAAUUUGAUAAAAUUCCUGUUCGUAUAAGUUCCUGCAAGCAGGACCUUAGAAUUUCAUAACGCGCUUGCAGAGUUGGGGGGCCGACAUAUGCUUUUAUAUCAGCUCGAUCAACAAACGCAAUAUCUGCAACCCAAUAAAUGGUAAAUACAUAAAUACUCAGAUUCUUAGAGUUUUUCCGCCUUCGACACAGAAAAUAAAAUAUAUCAUUGGGGAAAGAGCGAGGAGGAUAAAAAAUGCUCCCAGCAAACAAAAGAAAGAACACCAACAAUAAGAAAAAAUGAGAAUAUCAUUCAGCUAAAAACUUUGAUCCCAGCAAAUAGGUUGGAAAUUAGGGAAUGCGGGAAUCUGCUUCUGUAGCAUAUUAAUAUACAGCAAUGCCUAUCUAUUUUUAUAGCUCCUCAGAACCACAGUGGAUUGGAGGCUGAUGAGAAUACUAUCAUAGGCAAACCACAAAUAGGCUAAACCGUUUUAUACAGUGAGAAACGUACAUAAACUAUUUCCGAGCUACAACUUUCCACUCCAAGUUAAAGAUGAAAAAUAGCAAGCAAACCCAGGGAAGUUCAUUUACCAUGUUAGGAAAUUGAUUACAGGCUUACCAAUAGCAGCCGUUAUGUUGGAUGUUGUCAGAAUUAUCACAUUCGGUGCUGAUUUCAACUUGUCCAGCUGAGUUAGCAGCGCAUUCACUACCUGGCAUGUCAUUUUUUAGGUGCUAUUUGGACGGAAAAUGAGCUAGUGUGAACCAUAUCCAAAAAAUUUCUCUAUGUUCACAAUAUGUUCAAUCAAAAAGCUUAGAAAGUAUUCUAGAAUAGGAGAAAUGUGAGAGCAUGGUACCCGAAUAGAAUCUGAAGGUUCAGAACCAGAUAGAGCAGCUUUUCUAGCAGCAGCGAGGCUUUCAACUUCAUCUGCAGCAUCACCGCAUAUAUAUAAUCACAACCCAGAUGGAAGAAAGAUGACCAUGAAAUCAGAAAUCACAGUAAAAUUAAAUCUCACCAAUCAAAACAAAUACCAGAUUGUUUUCCUCUUCUACCAUCUCUUGAAUUUUUUGGAAAAGCUUUGCAACCUAAGAUUGAAAAAUAUUUUAUACAAACUGCAUAUACGAAAUCCCAACUCUUGUUUACAAAGAGCAGAAGCAUCUUUUGAGAAUUAUAAUAUCAACUACGUACCAAUUUGCCACUCUCGGAGAACCAUUUACUGAAUAAAGAAUGUGCAUUAACUUCAAUCAAUUGGCACUGUGGAUAUCUGCAAUGCAUAAAGUAAUGAGUCUGGAAAUUUACGCACACAGGCUUCCAUUUUAGUAAUAUAUAAUCGUCUGAACAAAACAAUACAUAAACAAACCUGGAGUUAAAUCGAAUAGAUAGUUUUUGAGCCAGUGCUUUACAUAAAGAGGUUUUUCCAGUGCCUGGAGGUCCAUGUAAAAGAACAAUGCUGCAAAGGGAUAGAAACAAUCAUAUUGGUGCUAAAGAGCAAUUCCCCAAUAAUCAUAAAAUACAGGCAUAUGUGUACACAGAUGAAAUCAACAAACAAGUCCUUACCGAUUCCAUGACACAAGGAAAGGAUUGACACCCUUCUCAGUAAAAAGCAACGCACUAGCUGCAUACCGCAGUAACCUUUGCUUGAGACCAGAUUCAUAAAUUAAGCUGGAAAGGUAAAAGACCAUGUCACAACAUCAGUUGAUCUCAACCUACUAAUGGGGGAAAAAGUAAAUAGGUAGCAAAUUAACCUUUCCCACAUCCCAUCAAAUUCCUUCGCAGGAAGAAUCCAUUCAUUAAAGGUAGAAGGUUGUCCAUCGCCACUUACGUCCUCACAUGCUCCCUCUUCGCUAAGCUGACAAAGCAAAUAUGAGAAAAAGAUCAAUACUCGAAACAGAUAUUGAGUCGCAAAGCAGUUCAGAUGUCACGGGCAGUACCAACUCAGACAACCCUUACCACCAGGCACCAAAUAAAGCAGAAUUCUAAAAGACGAUAGUAACAGACUGUUGCUAGUUAAAGAUAAAUAAACAAAAGCAAACUGAUACACCUACUGCCUAUGCUAUUCAUGAGCACUGCAAUUCACCUGAAAAACAUGCACAACAGGCUUCACUUGCCAGAACAAAAGGAUCUCAUGGUUCUGCACCCACUCAUCUACAAAAAUAAACAGUUCAGUAAUCAGAAAUGGUGAAUAUCUGAAAACUGCAUCAUCCUCCUCCUCCUUUAUAUGGUUAGAAAAGAAAUAAAAAUAGUGCUGCAGUCAACUUUCCAUUUUAUCAGAUGAAAAAGUUCAGCUGAUAAAAAGUUGCAAUAUUGAGCACAGCUGAUCAUCAAGUUUACAAAAUUUCUUCUCUUUUCCUUCAAUAUUUUAUUAACCUCAGUGAUCAAAUUCAUAGAUAAAGAAAAAUAAAUAAAAAAUACCCGUGUCACAAAUACAGAUUCUUUGCACAUUUUCCGUCAGGAACUGAUCGUCGGGCGGCACGGGCACAGGUCCAUCAGUAUAGCUUAAACUCCUCUUUUCAAGCAUUCUAAGCAUUUAACAAAAAGGAAACCAAAAGAGACGUUAAAACGAACAUAUAAAACCCAAUUAAGAUACAACUGAGAAUCAUUGCUCGAAAGUCAAGAUUAAUGGAGUUUAGUAGCACACCUCUCAACGGCUGACCGUACAUCGUCAAUCCGAGCUGUGCUUGAGGGCUUGAGGGAGACUUCAACUGAAACCCACAAUCAAUUUUCUUUAAAGAAAGUAAAUUUACAACUAAAUCAUCAACACAACCUCAAAUUGGAACAAUUUGAAACUCAAAAUGAUGAAGAUGAAGUCGAACCGACCUGAAACAAGUACUUUGUCUUGGGGAAGACUAGGAGAAGGAGCUGAGUCUACAGCGAUGAAGCCGUUUUGGUCCGGAAUCACGGUGUCCUGAGGGUUUUGCAGAGAGAUCUCCAUGGGACUGGGAGUACUCAUUUCGGGUUUCGGGUUUGAGAGACUAUGAAGCGGAAAGCAUCACACAGAGAAUCGAGACCAGCUUGGAGGGGAUGAGCCAAACCCUAGAGCCCAAAGAGAAAUCCGGUAAAUUGUUCUUCAAAAUGGGCGGGAAUAUUUUGAAACUUCGUGUCCAGCAAUUUAUAAUAUACAUUUUCUUUUUCAAAUAAAUUAUAUCUUUUUUUAUUAGUUUUAUAAGAUUUGAUUUUUUAUUAUCUAUACUAGCCCUUGACACAUGCUCACGCAUGUGCCAAUUGGUUUUCUUUUUCUUUUUUAUUUUAUUUUUAGAAUUAAUAAAAGAUAACAGGGUAGUUAUGUUCCAUAAAGGUAGGACUUAUUAUCUUAUUUUGUUUUUAAUUUUAAUUUUUUUAAUAUUAAAAAAUGUGAAUUUACCAUAUUAUCGUCAUUUAAUUAAUAAUUUCAAUUCUUAAUGUUUGAAUUAACAAAGAGUAUUUUCUGGUAUUUUGAAUGUUUCACCAUUCUCUGCCUUUUGCUUUAUAUAUAUAGAUUAGUCUCUCUGCAAGCGCUUCCGCACCUGCAAGAGGCUUUUUAUUUAAAUUUUUUUUAAUGUAUUUUAGAAUUAAAAAAGAUAAUUGGUAGUUAUGUUCUAUAAAAAUAGGAUUCAUUAUCUGACUUUUCGUUUAAUUUUAAUUUUUUUAAUAUAAAAAAGUGUGAAUUUACCAUAUGAAAAGUGCAAACAACGCUAUUUGAUCUAUAAUAAUUGAAAUUCAAAUAAAGUUAGAACUCUAAUUUUUUUUUCUUUCUUUCUUCAACUUACCCAAAAAUGUCUUGACAUAUUGUGUAUUAAUGAUUUAAAAAUGAGUUCCUCAUGUUUUAAACUUGAGUUAGUUUUAAGUAUAUGUUUUACAAUUUUCUGCCUUUUACUUUAUAUAUAUAGAAGCACAAGUUAAAAAUUCUUAAUCACAUUACCUUCUUUUUUUAUAUAAACGAACUCACGUGCAUAAUGGGAAUCACAUCCGCUCUAACCAACUUGACCAAGUCCAUAUCUGCAACAUUACUUUUUUUGUAACCAUAGAUUUAUUACGAAGUUAACCUUUUUAAUACAUAAAAAGGUUUACCUAAUUAAAUUAUUAAUUGUUCUUAACCAGUUACAUUUGUUUUCAAAAUAUGGAUUUAAAAAAAUAUAAGAGAGAUGUCUUUUCUUUGGUAGCACCAUGAAUGGAAAUGGGGCCUUGCCCAGCCCACUUUGUAUGCUUAUUUUCCAUUUUGUAUGUGUUCACCUCACAUGCCCAUGAAAGAUAAAAUCAUCAUGUCACCAAAAGGAUGUGAUUUGCCAACUUAUCUCACUCCUUUCUAAUGGUAGCGAUGUGAGGCUCUAACUUUCCCAAGAUAACAUGGCCCAUACAAGACUUUGUUAGAGAAGAAAAACAACCAUGAAGAAAAAGUUACAGCCUGAGGAUGACAGAGAACUUGAAAUUCUCAAGGCUGUGGCACAAGCUUGGUACAGCCACUCCAGCGGCUCUAGGCCCACGUCCGAAUUUGAUGCUCACCGGAGAAAUUUCACAGGCAGAUUACCGUCUCGGUUCAAGCUCGAAGCGAUGAGAAAGUCUACAUCAGCUAGUAAUCAGGCUAGUGGUUAUGCAGCAUGGGACUUUGGGCAGUCACUAUGGGAUGCUUAUGAGAUUGUGGCUGUGUCCAAAAGGUUAGAGACUGGGUUAUUCGUUGAUGAAAAUCCAUUCAAUAAGCUGGAUAGUCCGACCCGAGUCAUUAGGAGGCGUAGGGAGAGCAAGCACAGCCUCAGAAGUUUGUUUGAUAAAAUGUCUUCAAGGAGAUUUAAUGAGGCUGAUGUUCCACCUGAUAAUGAUACUUAAUUCUGGUCCUUCUGUGAGGUUCUUGUCUCUUUUUUUCUUCGCAGGAUUUUCGUUCUUGUUAAUGUGAAUUGCAGCUCAAGCUUACCUUACCAUCGCAAUUUUCUUCUAAUAUAGCAAACAGGGGAAUGGGGUGGGGAGAGCUUAUACUUGGGUCAUUGUGCCUAUAACUUUUUACACCAGAAGUACAUUAAUAAGAGGAGUCUGAAUGGACCUUUUUUUGUGUGUGUGUGUUUGUGUUUGUUUGUUUGUGUUGUUACGUGCCAGUGUACCUAUGCUUAAGAAUAAUCCUCUUUUGCCUUUUUCCGAAUUCCUCCAUGUAUUCUUUAUGGCUUCUUAUCUAUGUUUUGUGUUUUGAUGCUGGUGGUGGUUUGGUGAGAUCUGUAGAUGAUUGAUUUUGAAGUGACAAGAUAUGCAAAACUAUAUUCAGUUCUAUACCAGCUUUUAUCAUUACCUAAAUAAGGCUUGGAUCAAUGCUUUCUUUUGGGGAUCAAAUACCCUACAAGUUGAGACCUUUGCUUUAGAAUCUCUUCAGAUGCAUAGUCCAAUUUGAUCUUGAAAAUGAUAAGUUAUUCCCCACAUUAUUGUGGUGCUGGUCCUGGAACCUGAUAGAUGCCCUGCCAUGGGCUUCAGAUCAGGUGCUCAAAACAAAGAUGGCAUAAGACAUGUGGAAAGCACGAUUCGAUUCGAUAUAAACAUAUUUUCCCCCACAUCACGGUACUCUUGUCAUCUGAUAUUCCAAUGAAUUGGCUGAACUUAACUACUUUAGGUUGGUAGCUCAAGCCCUAUGCUAGCCAUACAUAUCAAUAUUGCAGCACUUGGCUGAGGCAGGCUCAAGCAAGCCAGUUAAAUAUUUGGUACCUUUGACCUAUCAAAGAAAACGCUUCUGAAGGGCUCUUGGAGGCCAUUUUUCUGCAUAACUUGUACCUCUAGUAGUAUUAGUAUAUGUAUUGUCGUCCAUUCCUUCAACUUCAACAGAAAAAGUUAAAGCAAAUGGGAGGCCACAUCUCUGAUGUUCAUACGGCCAUUGCUUUGCUGCAUUAAUAACAAGAGCAGUAUACCAGCAGAGGAGUAACCCAUCAAAACUAUGAACAAGAACAGCAAUAACAGCAAAUAUAACUAUAACUUUAACUUGCUUAUUUAAUAAGUGAAAUGCAUUUAACUUGACAAUGGCAUCCUACUAAGAGCCAAGGAACUUCAGCAUUUAUAAAAGACAGGCACUUUAUUUAUGUAACUGGUGGUGUAGGGUAGCACACUAGUUUAUGACCGACGCUCUCCAAAAGCCUUAACGCCCUUUGAAGGUCUUCCACUUGCACAAUUCAAAUCCCUUGUGCUUGUCCUCGAUGAAGCCGUCAGCUUGAACAUCGACGGUUUCCUCAAAAACGACGCGGUUCCCAUUCUUGUCACUCUGUGUGACUCUCUCAGUCACUUUAACUGACUUGUGAGCCUCAGGGAUGCGCUGCUUUUCCUGGUAACCGCCAUAGUCCUCUCUUACACUGGCUUGGUUGUUGAAAAGGGUUUGGCCAUAGUGAGGGACUUCAGUGAGAACACUAGGGGCUCUUACGAUCCUUUGAACAUGAGAAUAAUAAUCCGAGCCAUUUUGGCGCUUGGUUGGGUACUCGUAGCUUCUGCUCAUUUUUCUGCAAUCACAAGUUGAAAGUAUUAGGAGCAUUAAGCUUCAAUUUAUAGACAGAAAUGUUUUGCUUUUAUUCUAAAAUGAUAAGUGUGGUAUCUAAUUCUCUAUCUUUUUGUCUAUAUCAAACAGUUGAUUCAAGCAUAUGAAUCUAGUAAUGCUGGAAGGAGGUGACCCUAAAAUUGGAUAUUUU